rnacentral:lncRNA from 1 species
AGUGACUUUUUGUAACAUACCAGAUUUUGGUAUAAAAAAAUAAAAAAAUAAAAAUAAUAUGAGAAACUAUUUUUAUUGGAUUUAGAGGAGUAAAAUAUAAGUCAGAAGUGACUUGUACUGAAAUCGGAAUGAAAACAGAAGAUUUAGAAUUUUCUGUUGGAAACAGAACAGGUAAAUUUGCAGAAAAUGUACAGUGUCAGAAAAUUAUAAAAACUGGAGGAUAAGUCAGAAUUAUUUUUAUGAGGCUAGAUUUAAAGUUUCAUAUCAUUCUGACACCCGGAAGGUGAAAAAUAAAAUCCGACAACUAUCUGAUAAAGAUUACAGUUCGGUACAGUUUUCGGUGACCAAACGGGGUCAAAACUGAAAUAUUAAAAUUUUUUUGGACUCGUUAAGUAAAACCGAACAUGACUGUCAAAUUUGAGCUCAAACAAAUAUUCAGGGAGCCCCGGCGAAAGAUAUCAGAUUUCGAGCUGCCCAAAGGUGAAUAGUGUUGAGGGGCCAUUAGUGUAAUAGAGGCUUUUUCUUCUCCCUCAGCCCGAGCAGCACAUACGACACACACACACACACACACACACACACACACACACACACACACACGCAUGGAGAGGGGGGGAGAAACCCUCCUUUCUCUCUCUAAAGAUCUCUCUCAUCUCUCUAUUUCUCUCGCUCAAAUUCGCGGCGUUGGCGGAGAGCGAGUUUGCAAACGCGUUGGAGGCGACGGAUCGAGCUUUCGUGCACCCGUUGGAGCGGCGUGUUUUCGUCGCAGCGUUCACGUUUUGGUAAGAGUUUGGAAUUUUGUUUAAAUCCUUCAUGAAUGAUGUUCUAGUAGUAUCUAGAGUGUUCUAAACAUGUUUUCUCCAUUUAAUUUGGAUUAUUUGGAAGUUAAUUGCAUGUUACGGCUCCGAAUGGGGUUUUGUAAAAUAUAAGGGUGUGAUCUAAUUUGACCCUCCGUAAAUCUAAUUGCUAGGUAAAUGAACGCGUUGGCGAAGUCGGUUCGGCGAUUCGUCGAGCCGUUGUAAAGAUAUUAAAGAAACGGACGUUUAAGCUUCGUUUCCGCCUGGAGGGCGGAGGCGACAUCGUAAAGUCAUGAAAACGGAUUUGGAGCACCGUGGCACAUAACCGAAGACCUAUAAUUUUCGGUGCCGCAAUUCGACGCACGGUUGGUGAGUAUUAGCAAAAUCGGGCCGAACCGGACACGGGUGCCGCGGGAGGCCGAUUGCAAGUGUCGACAAGCAAUCGGAAAGCGAUUUGAGGUGAGUUGUGUUUACCGAAGCGACUAGGUCGCCUGUAUGUCUAAGAUAAGUGGUAAUCCUUGAUGCAUAUUAUGGUAGCUAGUGGUAGAAUGUAUAAAUGCAUGAAAUGAAUGCUUUGUUAGGCUACCAAAUAAUGCAUAUGGUCAUAAUGUGAGAAUACUAAGUAAUGCCUAAUGACAUAGUGUAAAUAAUGCUAAGUGGAAAGCAUAAAGUAAAUGACAUAUGUUGGUCAUGUUGCAUGUAUAGAAAUGCUAAAAUAAGAACGCUAAGUGGAUGCAUAUAGUAAAUGCUAAAGGGAAUGCAUGCUAAAGAUGUAAUAUAGAAAUGCUGGAAUGCAUGAUGAUGUAAUAUAAAUGAAUGCUAGUUUGGAUAAGCAUGUCAUAUAAAUGCUAGAUAAUGCAUGUUAAUUAUCUAAAGUAAGAUGCUAAGAGAUUGUACAUGAAGUGACAUAAUGCAAGAAUGCUAAAUAAAUGCAUGAAUGAUGUGGUAUAGAAAUGCUAGAAUAUAUGCAUUGGUUAUUGUUAGUUGAAUGCAUGUCAUGGAAAUGCUAAAUGUAAACAUGGGGCCAAUACUAAGAUAUACUUGAUGAUCAUGUUGUAGAGAUACUAAUGUUAAGUAAAGGAUAUGGGCAUGUGGACAUAUAUAUAUGCACAUAGAUCGAGUGGCAUUAAACCUAGUGUCUUAAACAUAGGUUGAACAUGAAUGAUAUGAACCUAGAGUUAGUAAACCUAGGUCGGACAUGAAGGAUAUAUGAACCUAGUGUGAAUAUACAUAGGUUGAACAUGAAUGAUAUGAACCUAGUGUUAAAGAACAUAGGUUGGAAUCAUGUGUGGUAUUUAAUCUAGCGUUAAAGAACAUAGGUUGGACAUGAACCUAGUGUUAAAGAAAGUAGUUAAAUAAGGUUUAACCCAAAGUGACAUUGUGGCUUGGUAUUAGCAGUAUAUGCAUGAUUAGGUAAAGACCUAUCAUUGGCAUUGAGGCAAAGAGAUAUGGAACAGAUUGGCUAUACCUCCUCAAAUUGAGGAUGGGAUCGUACUCACAUGUAUCGGUUCCGGCUUGUGCGAGGUCGCUCCUCUACAGGCGGUGUACUCCGGAGUAUAGACGCCACGGGUGAGAGUGCCCGGCGAAGAUCUCUCGGGUGACAGUGCCUUGUGCCUUCCCCGGUAGACGGGAUGGAUCCUUCGGGGGUAUUUCCCAAUGCUAAUCCUGGUAGAUGGAACAUGUGAGAUGUGAGCUUGGGGCGAACUUGAUGAACCUCGAAAAGAUUGGGUAAAGGCCAAAGUGAAUGUGUGAAAGUAUGCAUUAUGAGCUAUGGAUUUGGUAUUCCAGUUGAGUGGAUUUAUGGCUGAGGUGCAUGUGAGACGUCCUUCACCUCGAGUCUGGAUGUGUGCGGUAUUCCGCAAAUGAUUGACUCGAGACCGAGUCGGGUGGUUAGCUCGGCUAGGGUAGAGAAAAACCUUAGGAGCAAAUAACCAAUGAUGUAAAGUGACAAGAUGUGCAAAUUAUGAAAAAGCUAUGGAUAGCAUGAUUGAAAGUAAAAUCAUUUAUUCUACUUGCACAGUUGCAUGGAUUUCAUAUCGCAUAUCGUGAGGCAUAACAUGUAGUUCAAUAUCGGGUAAAUGUAUAAAUAUCUGUUAUAUGUUAUUGGACUAACCUGUUGCAGUGCCUCAUUAGACCUAUUGGUUGAGCUUUUCCCUUGGGUGGCCGUACCCACUGGGAAUCAUGGAGUUUGUUCUCACCCCACGUUGUAUUGGGGUGUUACAGGUUCACACGUGAGUGGCGCGGCGGCGCGAGGCGAGGGCGUAGCUCCGUAGUUAGCGCCCUACUACCUAGACCAAAGAUAGCGGUACCCUGAGUCGGCUAAUUAGGGAUGUAAGAAAACGAAAGGAAUAAGAUUGCAAUAAUUUAUAAUAAAAGCAUGAUUGUAUUUGGAAGUUAAAUGUAAUAUGUAAUUGUAAUGUAAAAUGUAUCUAGUGAAUGCGAAUGCUUGUAAUAACAAGUAGAUUAUAUUUUUGAUACUUCCUUAUGCAAUCUUUGUUUGAAAUGUGUUCCUGAUUGAAACUUCGUACAUUGUAUUGAUUGUGACGCCUUGGACGUACAGGGGAGACUCUGUCCGCGGUACAGGAAAAACUCUCUCCGUUCGGCGGACUGUUGGCGUGUCCGAAACCGAGCAAAUAGGCGGGCUCGGGGCAUGACACUUUUCGUUUUGGUCAUGCUCGGCACCUUUGUUCUCUAACAACAACCUGCACAUUCGCUCGGUGUUACCACACUGUUGACUCCAGACUCGUUUACCCGAAAGGAAAGCGACCGGUGCACCAAUCUCACCGGAUCAGUCACCAUCGCCGUGGUGAUCCAUUGAUUGGGAGUGUUUAGGAAUUAACCACCAAUGACACAUGUCUCAAAUUAUCAACUCUUGAGAAUAUGUAUCAUAAUCUUAUUAAUUCCUUGGACAAUUCAUGGACACAUAUACAACAUGAAUAAAAAUAAGAAUCCAAAUUCAUUCAUAAUAUUUAAAAUUAAAUAUAAAUUAUGUUCUAGAAAGAAUACAUAUAUCAGCCUGGUUGGUUUCUAGGGCAUACAUCUCACAAUAGUUGCACCUACAAUGUAGUAAACACAACUAAAAUAGAGUAACAGAGCUGCUAAAACUGGUAGAUACAUACAUACAUACAUAAUAUAUAUAUAUAUAUAAAGAGAGAGAGAGAGAGAGAGAGAGAGAGAGAGAGAGAGAGAGCGCUAGGCUGCUAUACUAUCGGUAGCACGGACGCCUCCGUUGCUACCAAGUUGUUUUCAAUGAUGUCGCUUCCAAAUUGACGAUCGGCUCCAUUAGAUUUGAUCUACACUAUGGAAAAUAUUUGGAAACUAAAUUUCAUAAUUUUUCGGUAUCAUUUACCUAUCAAACGAGCAGUCUAAAAAUGAACGGCUGAAAAUAAAAAUCUCAUAAAAAAUGAUGAUAGAAGACUUGAAUUUAAAAUCAGAGAUACUGAUCUUACUCUAAAUAGUAAAAAGAAUUUUCUAUAAAAAUUUCAUCUGAUUUGGAUUGUUUUGCACCGUUAAAUUUACAAAUGCAUCACAUCUACCAUUAAAAUUAUCAAUUUUGAGACCUUUUGAUCACUAGCCAAAUGAUGUCGAAAAAUUCUAAAAUUUAGUUCCAAAUACUUUCAAUAGUGUAGAUCAAGUCUAACAGAGCUGAUUUUCGAUUUGAAAGCCGCAUCAUCGAAAACAACUUGGUAGCACGGAACUACCGAUAGUAUAGCAGCCGGACUCUAUAUAUAUAUAUAUAUAUAUAUAUAUAUAUAUAUAUAUAUAAGCCAAUUGUACAUACAUGUCUCCAAAAUGUGUUCUUGUAUAGAAAAAUGGGAAAUACAACAUCAACUCAACUCCUACAUAUCUAUAAAUCUAUAAACUACUAUUAAUCCCCGUGGGAUUCAAACCCUCUCCGUAUUUCAGGAAAAAAAUGGGUCCCACCUCUUCUCUUAAACUGCAGAAUACGUUUAAUAAACCUAUUUUCUCUCUCCUUUUAAUUAAGGUGAUGCUGUUUUGUACGAGGGACUCCUCCGAUUCUCCUUCUCUCCCUCUCAUCCGUCCCUUCGUCUCUUCUCUCUCAAUUUAUUUUUUUAUUCUUCCGCCCGUUUACCUCCCUCUCUUACCCUUUCUUAUGUCCGCCCGUUUUCCUUACCGCAUGCCUCCUCCCUCUCCUUCCCUCUCAUCCUUCCAUAUCCCCUCUUUCCCAAAACACCUCUCCUCCCUCCCUGACCCUCGGCUGAUGUGCGCCCUCCUCACUUCCCUCAGGUACCACCUCCUUCGCUCCUCCGCCCCUUCCGACUCACCUUCGAUGCCCUCGAGGGCCCCUUCCUCGACCACCUCCGCCGCCGCAGCAGCAGCAGCCUCGGGCGCCAUGCAGUGAGGGGAGGAGGACCUUCUCUUAACAGGGCCAUGGCGACGAAGCGGCGCGAGCUCGACAACACGGGGCUGAGGCUCAGCUACGUCGGCUUCGGCACCUCCCCUCUUAGCAACGUAUUCGGCCGCGUCUCCCCUGCCGUCGUGGUCGUUGCCGUGCGCCACGCCCUCGACCUUGGGAUCAACUUCUUCGACACCUUCCCGUCCGUAUCCCUAACUCUAGCCCUAGAUCUCCUUCUUUGUACGAGCUUCGAGGUUCGAUCUUGAUGCGUGGCAGGUACUAUAGGGGGGGCAGUGCUCGGCAAGUGCCUCAGGGAGAUCGGGGCGCCGCAAGAGGAGGUCGUCGUCUCCACCAAGUACGAGCACUACGCAGACGGUUCGACUUUAGUGCCGAGCGCGUGUCGCACGGCGUCAACGAGAGCCUCGCCCGCCUCAAUCUCGACUACGUCAACAUCCUCUAUUGCCACGACAUCGAGUUCGCCCCUUUCGUCGAUCAGGUCCAGUUCCUCCCUUUACCCACUUUUUUUUUUGUAUUUUUGUCCUUUUGGUAUCAAAUUAUCAUAGACUUGGAUUGUUUUGCGAUUUUCUAUCUAUGUGUGUGGAUUGUUUUGCAAUUCAGUGUAUUUGAAUGUUCGUGUGUGCAUGCACACGCGCAUGUGUUGAAAGAUUGGGAUUGGAUUGGACUCCAUUGUUUGCUUUGGCUGUUAUCCUUAGUCUUAUGGCUCAUAAGUAAAUUACGAAGAGUAUAUUUCUAUACAUAGCGAAUGCAUUCUGAUUUGCAAUUUCACCCAAAUCACGAAUUUGGAGGAUUCCGAGCAAAGUGUAAUCCUCUGGUCCGAGAACUUAUCUGUCCAUGAUUUAUAAUAAUCUUCUCUAAAUUAGUUGGAUUUCGGUAAGUGCAAGCUAAUCCGAACUCUUUGAGGUUGGUUUGCUGUCAAUUGAAUUUCACAACCAUAUGAAAAUUCGUCUAAUAGUAUAUUUUGAUUUCUAGUAGAUGUGAAUUAGGGCAAAAUUGAGAAGUAAACAAUGGAGUUCAUUCCAAGCAAUGGAUUUUGACUCCUAAUUGAUUCGUUUUAUUCUCUAAUUGCAAAUCAAUUAAGUUUCUACAUAUGCUUCGGGAGCUAGUACGCCCCGUCCGUAGUUUUCCUCUCUCUCUCUCUCUCUCUCUCUCUCUUCCUAAGGUGGUCUCUCUCUCUCUCUAUUAUAAUAAGUCAAAACAAAGCAUACUAGGGGAAAAGAGAAAAUAACACUACAUGUAAUAUCUUAACAGUUAUUGUUGCACAUGCAUGCUCUCUCUCUAAAUCAUCGUGCAAUAUAAAGACAUUGUAUUGUCAAAAAAAAUUAUAAAGACAUUGUAUAUUUAUUAUUUUUUAUAAUCUGUUCUUAUUUUUACUGAAUAUGUCUCAAGUGUUUUGGAUGUAUUCCGCAAUAGUUAACUGAUGCUGAGAUUGUGUAUCAUCAUAUGAUCAGUUCGGGACUGUAGUAGGCUUAGUUGCCUAAAAUUAUUAGAUUGUUUUCCAUUCCUGUACUUUUGGAUUUGGUUUAAUUCGCAGGAACGGUAGGCCAAAUCCGUUUGCCCAAGGAAUGGUUUGUCGCUGCGGAGAUCGAGCUUGAGCACACCCCUGUUGUCUACCUUUGUAUGCAUCUCCUUCUCUUCCUCUCUCUUUCUUCCUCUGUUUCUAUGUGCUCUAACAAUCCCUACCUAAUUUAAUAGAAGAAACGAUAUAAAGAGAGAACAAGGGUGGUCAAUGAUGGUCUUUUAAUUUAGUUUCUUUGUUUAUGAACUUUUCAAGUGGUAGGUGAAUAUUUUUUUGCAAAAUUUGUUUUACUAUUUUUCGAAAAACUUGGUAAUUAACUUCCCUCAAUAUGUUCAAUUUUCACCUUAAUAUAUAUGAUCCAACCAUUCACAAUAAUGUGAAAUUCCAUCUUUCUAACACCUAUUUAAAAAUUAUUAAAAUACUAACUGUUGGUAUAGAUAUUCAAUGAUUUAUUAUGGCUAGGUAUAUUAACUAACUUUUGUUUUUUUUCCCUUUAUUAUUGCAGCCUUUAUUUCUGGGAGAAAGUGGGGUUGAUCAGCUGAUGUAAAUUAUGUCAUUGCAAAAUUUAAUUCAUUUCCAACACGCAUGCAUAUUUAAAUUUAAACUUAAACAAAGUAUUUAAUAUUUAAAUAAAACUGAACAUUUUCCAAUUGAUUGUUGCUUUUGCGAAAGAUUUUGGGUACCCCAACGUGAUAAGAGAUUAAAGGCAUGAAUCCAAACUAUUCCAACACUCUCCUAAUUUGCACUGCAUGGCUGUAAGAUUUUUUGUAACUUCUAUUUUAUAUGCUUGCGCUCUAAUUGUACUUGCUGCUUUUAUUUAUCUUUUAAUAUUUAUUUGUUUUGUUAAAAGUUUGAAAGUAAAGUGAGUAAAUCAGAAAGUCAACAUUCAGUUAUAUGGAAAGCUUUUCUUCUAUCAUUUAUUUUUGAGAUUUUAUGGACUUACUCUAAUUACCAAAAUAAAGAGUAACUUCAAUUUUUUAUCUCUCCAAUGAGAUAUUUUGCUUUUAGUAAAUUGUGUGGAAACUCUAAGCUAAGUUAUGAAAUUGUCUACAUUGCUAGGGUCCAUGAUUGUCCUAAUAAGGGCUUUGUAAAUCCCUUCGCCGAAUUUCAACAAGAAGUAAGCCAAGUUAUGCAAUUGUCCAUAGCACAAAGAACAUCAUGGAAUUCUUAGUUCUAAAGGAGGUAAUACACAUUCUACGAUUUUCUAUUAAUUUAUUAUUGUCCUAUUUUAGUGUACCAGACUAGACAAAAUGUUAAAAUUUCUUCUCAACUAUUUGGACGCACUAGGCUUGGAUGUUGUUUUUUUCCAGCUUGUUUGGCAUUUUUCAUUUCUUUUAUAUAUUUCACUAAUAUCUAGAACUUUUUUAAUGUAAAACAUAAAUCAAUAAAAAUUUCAUAGUAAGACUUUUGAAAAAUGAUUUCUUCUGUUUUCUUAGGGUUAUACUAUUUCAUCCUUAUAAUUGUAUUUUUCAUAUUUAUAUUUUUUUUGUUUCUUUUAUUGCUUACCAAUGAACCAUAUUAAUUUGUAUUUUUUUUUCAUGUUGUUUAACUUUUUUUAAAUUUUUAUCAAUUACUUGAAUAAAUAUACAAUACAUGAUAUUUUUGUACCAUAAUUCUAUUUGAAGUUUUUGUAACUCUGUAAGUUGAUAACUCUUACGCAGACUGUAACCAAGGAAGUAAUUGCCGGGCUGAAAGAAGUUUACAAAGCUCUACAAAUGCAGAUGCAAUGUUCGGUGUAGGUCUAUUCUUUUUUUGGUAGUUUUCGAGUGCAAAAUGACAACAUAUUUCUUUAAUGUUAUUUCUUGAACUUUUAUUAAAUUAUUGUUCUCUUUAUUAUAUUAAUUUUCUAACAAACUUAUGAAAAGGGGUGAUUCCUAUUGAUCUUAGUUGUGGAACUAAAUCAAGAGAGUAAAAGAAUUUAAUUCAUAGGUUUUAUUUCUUUAUUAUUGAAAUUAAAUCAAUUCUACAUCCGUCCAUAAAGAAGUUAUUUAAAAUACACAACAAUCGACAGAGUAAAGUUAUUAAGAGCACCGGUUAAGUUGUCAUACUGCAUCAAUAGGCUAAAUAAAGUAUACAGGUUAUUGGGCUGUGGGUGAAAACUGAUUUUUUUACGAUUAAGCGGUGGGCCUUACUGAAAUUAAAACAAAUAGCUGAAAUUGGCUAUUAUUAUUUUCAAAUUUGUUUACAUGACUAUUGUGUAUUCUUUCAUACUUUUUCAUUAAUUUUCUUUAUAUUUCGUAUUAAUUCUGUGAUGGUAUAAUAAUUUUGAUAUCCAUCGGCAAGUGUCAUAAUUAUUGGCUUUCAAAAAAAGAAAAAUCAAAUUUGGAUCAGGAAAGAGAAGAGAGAGAAGAGGACGGAUGAACCUCUUAAUAUGAUUAGUUAAAUCUAAAUUUGAGACAAUUGAAUUUGCCCUUCGUUAUUUAUUAUUCUUCUUUCACAAGAUUUCAAAUAUAUUUUUAAGAUAUCUAUGUUCUUUCUUUUCCUUUUUUUUUUUUGUUCUCUAUUGAAUUGUAUUACUAUUUUAAAAAAAUUUAAUGUAUGUUUUACAUUUUUAACCUAUCAAAUGUGGUUUUAUCAUGCUGUAUUUUAAUGUAUGUUUUACAGUUUUAAAUUUUUAAUCAAUUAAAUAUGGUUAUAUCAUGCUAUUUCUUCUUUACGUUUUUAUUUGUUUAUUUAUUUUGCAAAAUUUUGCUAUAACAAUUUUAUUUUUAUUUAUUUAUAUAUAAUUCAUAAAUUUUUAUUAUGCCAAUUGCUAUCCGCCGCAUCGCGCGGGUCCUACACUAGUAAAUAUCAUUAAAUGUACAUGGCCACAAAGAGACUAUCUCCAUAAGGGUAUAUAUAAAAGCCAAUUGUACACACGUCUCCAAAAUGUGCUCUUGUAUAGAAAAAUGGGAAAUACAACAUCAACUCAACUCCUACAUAUAAAUAUCACUAAAUGUACAUGGCCACAAAGAGACUAUCUCCAUAAGGGUACUCGCACACCAACCGGGGUAAGACAGGAAUCUAGCUUGCGACUCCCUUACCUCGAUUAGCAGUAGCAACGGAUGACUCUACAAGAAAAUGGGUAAUAGCGGGUGUGAGAACCACUAUAAAAUAAAGUAGCUCUCAAUGGAUACCAUCACCGAUCCCAACGACCUACCCACUAAGUUUACGAGAGUAACAGUAUAGUUGAUAGGUAAGAAAUAGUAAAGUAAACUGUACUGAAACUCUACAGCUACAAUGCUUUUACACUACCACUAUGCACAACAAGCUCUCUAUAAACAUAAGUCACACUAGCAACAGUUGACAACACUAAUCCAAUCCAAAGAAAGCGCCAAUUCAGCCUGUGCUUAAGCUACACCAUACACCACCCACAGGGGUGACCGGUCCAAGUGUGAUACCCAACAUGACUGCUACGACCAGAACGCAAAAAGGCCUCACUUCGGAGUGGCACUCAGGGGAGCUAACAACCGAGCAGACAAGCGUCCUUUGUCAAGCUCAAACAGGCUCUCUCAGGCUGUGAUCUAUGCAAAUGCUCAAAUGGGUGAAAACACUAGUACCCAUGUACCCUUAGUACAAUCCGAUACAAAUGUAUAGAUUUGGACUCACCGUCAGUCCCGACGACACCCGUAACUCUACUAUGAAAGUGAGCUUGACAUCCCAGCACAACUGUAACCUCCACUUACACUAAUUCCAGUAUCCACGACGUACUAACAGUGAUGAUUUUAAAGUGUAAUCAACUCCUAGAACUAACUCUGUUAACUUUUCGAAAUAUGUAAAGUGUAGGUUUUGUGAGUUUUCUCCCAAGUCAAGUCCCAGCUUAGUAUGUAAAAUUAAUGUAAAAUUAUUAACUCAAGCCACAAAUUUAGAUUCCCUCUAAAAGCAUGCAAAUCUACCAUUUUGAGCUAUUAAAUAGGAUAUUUAAUAUAAAACAAUGCAUUCUAAAAUCUCUACAAAUUAGGAGGGAUUUCGAAGACUUCGGUAAACAUCAACCUACCUCAAACGCAACUCUUACAACGCCAAGAAGUCGAUUGAAUAGUCAAAGGAUCAAAACUAUGCCAACUGAAAGAAAUCAGGUUGAAACCUCAAAUUCGGAUCCACCUGCAGCCUAUUUUGGGUGCCUAGAACUAGAGCCCAGAUCAACAACACUACUUCACAAGGCUGCAAGAAUCCAAGUUGAAAUUCAACUCUAAUUCUGGAUUCAAAUUCAGAAAAACUCAACUAAACUCACCCAUAGAUAGUAAGGAACUUAGUCUUUAGCUUUCUACAAAAUCAAGCCUCAAAUACCAUCAAAAUGCCUGAAGUGGCAAUUCAAAUCCAUGAAAUGGAGGCCCAAAACCUGCAUCUAGAUCGUUAGCACUAAAAUAACCAAGUGUAAUUGAGCUUCAAUCUGGAGUUUCUAACCUAUGAAGUCAAUGGAAAGGGAUCCAAAACCUCCAGGAAUGUGGGGAUAAUCAAUCUAAAUCCAACAAUUAGCUCUCCACCAAAUAUGGAAUCAAAAUUCCAAAGAUUUCAUCAAAACUCUAAAACUUCAUCUUAAAGCUUGAUUUCAUCAAUUCCAGCUUAUUACUCACCUUCCAAUCUGAAUGUUUUGGUGAGAAAGGCUUCUAAUCCAGUGAGAAAAGUUGAGAGAUCAAUCCACCCUCCAAAAAUCUAGCCCAAAAGAAUUUGGAUCCAUAAAAUCAACUAGAAACCCAAUUUCAGCUCUAAAACACUAAGUUCUAUUGUGACACUGUCACGCCCCGGGGCCGAUUUAAAAGCCAUUACCAUUUUUAAAACUCAGAGUCACGGAAGAUGUACCAUUUUUUUUUUUUUUCAACCUGGCCCACGUGACGUACAGACCCGCCACAAAUACAAAGUUCCUCUGUCCACUCGGACAGAGUCUUCUUUGUAUUUGCACGGCGUACCAAUGAUACAACAGGAUCUUAACUACAAUCUACAAUUACCAAUCAACAACCAAUUCAUGAUAUGCAUUUUCAUACAGCUAACAAUCCUUAGAGAUGAUGCAUGCCUCUAAGCACUCCUUAGGCGCUGGAUGAUGCGAUGCACAGUACAACAAUCAUCCUAUUUAAAAGUGCUCCCCACACGGAAGCUUUUAUUUUUUUAAACUCUAAUUCAUUCAUCAUGAAAAACCAUUCGAAAACCUUUUUAAAACUGUUUCCUACAUGGAAACUCUAUUUUGAAAAUCAACUACCUCGAGGGGUAGAAAACCAUGAUAUGUAAAUACAAGAAAAUCCGAUAUCUAUAAAAUCAACAUCCAAAUCCACAAACCUCAGUUCACAUGCAUAAAUAACGAAAGCAUCCACAGAUCUACCAAAACCAGAUCACCAAUAUUCAAACAAUCAUAAAGAUCAGCUAACUGAACCAUUAUUUAAAUGACUACUAAAGGCGGGAAAGAAAUACAACCAGGGUGGCGAUCGCUAUACCAGACUAGCUAGAUCGUCCUCUCGUCGAGCCCAAAAUCCAACUCCUCGUCUAUGUCACCUGGGGGGAAAUGGGGGGUGAGAAACCGCAACCAUGAUUUUCUCAGUGGGUACGACAGAGCCACGAAGGCAAGCCGUAAUCACCGGAAACCAAAGGAGAUAGAUAAACAAAUAUAGAUGCUAAUAUAUGAAAACGAACUACAGUAGCUAUAACAGAUAUGAACAUGAUAUGAUGUAAAAGCAACUACAGUAGUAAUAGAAACAGGAUAAUAACUGAGCAAGAAUGAAACUACUACUGUAACCAAAAACUCAACUGAUCAGAUGCCUCAAAGGUGAAUAGUCCAAAACCAAACCCAAUCUGAUACUGCUAUAUUGGUCCGCAGACCUCAAGCGUUGCCUGUCACAGAGCAGACACUGCGAGCUUAUUCAUGCGUCACCGACGACCUAUCCGGAUACGUACACCCCUUGGUUGGUGGCCAAACCAACCUGGUGUCUAGAAUAUACAGUGCUGUGACUAAAUCAUGCUGAUAUGCUCAAACAAAACCAGCAAAAAGAGACCGGUGCCAUGGCCAAAGCCAGGUGCAAGGGCGUACAACGCCGAACCACGAUCAACCAGAUCGAAACACAUGACAAGAGAGUCGAUGUGUUGCCUGGACCCAAGGUCCACAGAGAUGCAAUAUACGAGUGCAAGCCUGCUCUACAUGUCUAUCCACAACUAUACAAAUGCAAUCAACGGAAUACGAUAAACAAGCGAUAAACAAUCAACUGACAUGUAGAGACUACGAUACUGAUAUGAAAGAACAGAGGAAGGGUGAAACGAUCCCACCGACUACCAGCUCGAAGCACCCACCUGUCACUGUCGCGUCGGAACACUGGGUACGCACAAGUCGACCGGACCUACGAAGAUCCAACGGGUCAGUAACCAACCCACUCACCUGAAGUGCACUAUCUCACAAACCCCCACACAGAUCCCCGUAUCGGUUUCCCAAAACCGAUCAUCGUAACUCACCGAAAGUCCCAAAAACCACACCGGGACGUCGUCGGGACCCACUAAGUGUCCCGAAACUCACCGACUCGUGUCACGAGUCACCUGCUGCUCCAGAAUACUCCGAUUUGGAUGUUUUGGAAGCAAACACAAGAUAACAUCACUAUACAAUUAUCGCCGGAUAAUUGUACGAAUCUGGAUUCCCGAAAGUGUCUAUUUCGACACCGGAACCCACCGUCGCUCACCCAUCAUCAUCGAACCCACAAAAUGAUGAUGGUGACUAGCCAACAAGGCUCAGCGAUAAAUUACAGGAUAACCAAUCCACAUCGGAAGAAAUCCGAACCGAAACCGCGUUCUUUCGGCGAAUUUCGCCGAAAAACGCGCCGAAAUCGACUUUUUGAUUUCCGCGAAAGCUACAGGAUCAUGGACAAUCAGUCCAAAGGUCAAACACGCUCACGUGCACUGCCCACAGUAGCCAUAAGGAGCACAAAUGCAUAAAAGACCCUCAAUUUACAUAAAAUCCUAUUAUUUCAUGUAAAUUGAGCGAUCAAGUGGCUCGUUCACGUAAACCGAGGACUCCCAAGGUCCACAGAGACACGUACUGAUAGGUCUCGACGUACCGAAGGCCAUGCUCAUGAUCCGGAGCACAACGGCUCGAUGUGGGAAGCCGGGAGCAACCCGAAGGUUCAGCGAACAGCGCGCAGCCACAGAAAAACGCACCGAACAGGACUAACCGGACACUGUUGAUCCAAAAUAAGGUGAGCACCGUGAUCAGCACUGACCAGCGGUCACCGUGCUCACCUCCGGAGGCAUCGGAACAGCCUCGGAUCGCCGGCAAAAUAUGCACAAACAUAGAGCCACAGCCAAAAAGGCUGAAACGAAGCUACAUCGCCGAAACAGCGAAACGGGGCCUUCCUGACAGAAACCAAGGUGAGCACGAUGAUCAGAAACUUGCCAGGAUCAUCGUGCUCCCUUCCGUAGAGAUCAGGAAGCCCCGGGAAGCUCGGAACAGUAAACCACCUAACUAAGCCCUAUUUCGGGCUUGGCCGGAGCAAGCUUGCUCCGGCCGGCCUUCGGCGGCACGGCGGCGCGCGCGGCGGCCAGGAACGGGUGCGGGGGAGUUGAAGAGUGAGGUGCUCACCUCAGUCGGCGGCGAGGAGCGGCGGCGGCGACGGCGGAACCAACCCAGCCCGCACGAGCUAAAGCUCGAGUUCCAGCGAAACUACGGCCACGGCGGCGGUCGGGGCUCCUCGGGGACGACGGCGGCAGGUCCUCAGAGGCCGGAGGAGGAGGAGGAAGGCGGCGGGCGAUAGCGGCGGCGGCCCGCGGCUCGGGCGCUGCCGCUCGAGCUAAGCUCGGUCUGCAGACCUAGGCGGCGGCACCCAAGGUUCAGGGAGGCCGUGGCGAUCCGAAGGGCGGCGGCGACCGGCCAGGAAGGUCGGUGGGACACAGGAGAAGGCCGCGGGAGCGACCUCAGGGAGUGGCGGCGCGGGGGCAGCUGCUGGAACUCGGCUCGGCCGAGCCUUGUCCUAGGCGGCAAACCAGCCAGGGCGGCAGCGGCGGCGCUAGGCGACGGCGGCGGUCGGCGGGGAUGCUCGCCGGAGCACGGGGCGACACUAGCAGAGGGUCUGGAGGUGGCGGCAGUCUCGGGCUUCCUCACAACCCGAGAGAAGAGAGAAAGAAAGAAGAUGGCGCAAUGGUUGGGUGGCAAGGCUGCGGCGGCGGCUGGCCGGCCGGGGCUCAGUCGGCGGCGGCCUGGGCGUGCGCAACAGGUGCAGGGAAGUGGGGUGAAGGUGGCUGGGGGUGCGGCUAGGGCUAGGUUAGGGUUACCAGGCUCCAAACCCUAGAGAGCUAUAAAUACCAAGGUGCAACUUUGCAAAUAAGUCCACCAAACCUCAGUAUUUAUUACUUAGUCCUUCACAGUGCGUAUAAAACGCGCGAACACCCUUCCACGUGCGAUCCCACGUAAAACGGUACAUAAAAUAUCGAGACUUUCGCGAAAAUACCAUUUUGCCUUCACCGACCUCUCCUCGAUCAACGUGCGAUCUCCGCAGAUCCGUCCGUCGGAUUUGCGAACGGAUUGCACCAGUGCGAUCAGCACCUCGGAGAUAGCAAAGCUACGAUUUUUGGUUCACCUCGAUCGACCACGAAUUCACGACGAAAUCCAUUCUCUUUCCAAAAGGCCGCAAUGACGCAAAAUUACAUAAGAAACAUGUAUUUUCAGAUUUUCUUGAAAUCCGUGCGUCAAAACCAAAAUCCGUCAGCGCCAGUAGUUCCAGAAUAGCUAAACCGAUCGAAACGAGCUAUUGGACUGCUAUGAACGGAGUCCGAUAAGCACCAGAAGCCAACUCUACUCCGUGGCUUCUUCGGAAAACCGGAGUUACUAUUCACUUAAGUGAAAACUAAAAAUCGCGUAUCUUCUCCAUUUUAGCUCAUUUUCUUCUGAAACUUGACGAGUACUUAUGUAAUUAAAUUACACACAUAAACAUCGUCAACUGAGAGUUUAACUACACUACAAAAAUCUCAGUCCUUACAGACACCCAAAUAGUCCCACAUCAGAUAGUAAAAGGACUCCACAAUAGUAAUAAUAACUGGGCUUAAGCAUUUUGAGCCGAUGAUUUUGAUCCAACAAGUUAUUAUUGCUGGCGAGUUGGGUCGUUACAUUUGGUAUCGAAGCAAGUUCACCAGUCAGAAGUGUGAGAUGAGUCUUGGCUGAGUCAGGGUUGGAAUGACAGACUAAGACAAAGUUGAUGAAUAACAGGCUAAGUCAGGGUUGGAAUGACAAGGCUAGCAAGACAAGUCUCACAUCGUCUAGUGAUGUUUGUGUGUUUAGGGCUGACAAGGACAUCAGGGCCUAAACGGAGAGGGGGGGGGGGCUUGUGACACCCCAAUAAUCCCAUAUCGAAUAGUUAUGGCUAGAUGUGAGAGUAUAUAAACUUAAUUAGGCAAGACAUAAUAACUGAAUUUACACAUUUUGGGUCAGCGGUUUGGGCCCAACGAGUUAUUAUUGCUAGUGGGCCGGAUCGUUAAAUCUAUAGAAAUUCACUAAUUAAGCAUUAUUAACCUAAAAUUAAAGCUAUUAAAGUGGUCCCACAGCCUCUCCUUAAAGUCUAAAGUCCAUAAAUCUGUCCCCUACAGCAACAGGAAGCUCCAAUAGCCAAUUUUCCAAUUGGAUCAAGUCGUUACUGGAAUUAAGCUGAAAUUCCAAUGUUUCAAGGAGAAAAAAUAGAUUUGUUGGGGCUUUAGAGGGAAUUUGGUGAAAGUUUCAGGUUAGAUGUGAAAGAGGGUGAAAAAUGACUCUCAGGGACAAUCUCCCAUUUUGUAUAGUGGUAUUAUAGGUUGGGUAAAAUGAGCCACAAGAACACAAGAUAAUAACCUAUUACAGUGUUGAAAUUCCCACUUUCGGGCGUCCUAAACCAACUUCCAGGCGCCCUAAACUUGUUCUGCACCACUCUUCAGCAAUUCGAACUCAUGCUCGCAGUGGUCCGGUGCGACCUAAACUGGUCCGACGGCUCACACCUACCACUUGCCUCGUGUCAACGGGUUCCACAUGAGGAAUAAUUUGGGCUCAACAUUUAGGCACCCUAAACCUGGAUCCGAAAUGUCUGUAGUAACCCAUACUAAAUAGCACUCACAUCUGGGCACCCUAAACCAUUUCUGGGUACCCGAAAUUGCCAAAACUUAAGUUUUGGCUUAUUUGAGUGCGUCGAGUUCGUUUUCGUGUCAACUUCGCGCUAAAAUAACUUCGACUCAUCGCAACACUCUAUAGAAGUGUUGACCAGUCACUAAUACUACAUUUGUUGUGAGGGUAUAAUGGUCGACAUCCCAAGAUCUAGGAUAAGUUCUGGCUUAUUUGAGUUCGUCGAGUUCGUUUUCGUGUCAACUUCGCGCCAAAAUAACUUCGACUCAUAGCAACACUCUAUAGAAGUGUCGACCAGUUACUAAUACUACAUCUGUUGUGAGGGUAUAAUGCUCGACAUCCCAAGAUCUAGGAUAAAAGUGUUAGAAACUUGCGUAUGGUAAAACGCAGCGGAAAAAGAAAUCAAACAAAUUUGAUUUUCAAAAACUCUUGAGAUCCAAUAUCAAGAUCAAGCAAUUAGGAUCCCUCAUGUUCUUUAAGAUUAGAGGAGAAAAGUAAGAUCGAAUCUUUACCUUUUGUGUGGGUAGAUCUUCACCUCAAUUUGAUGAUCAUAGAAUUAGAUUUUUUUAAAGCCGCACACGCGUCCGGCCUCUAUAGAAAGAUGGAAGAGAGAGGUGAAGAGAAAUGAUGGCUAGAAUUUUCUAAAAGCUUCCGUAUAUUAUCUAGAGAAAUAUAAUCCUCUUUUUAAUAAUAUAAUGACAAUUAAGAAUAAGUACAAAUCUAUAUUAAAUUUAUUCUUUCCUUAAUUGGUUAGAUCGAUCAAAAUCUAAUUUGAUUCGACUUAAAUUUAUCUUAGUUUGAUCAUAUCAAAUUAAUAAUACAACAUUUGCACAUAAGUCCUCUCAUAAUUUACUAACUAUUAGUUAGUCCUCUGUUGUAACAUUUACACUUUAAUAACACUAAUUUGUAAUAAUUACAAAUUAGUCCAAUUAUCAACAUAUUGACAAUUUGGUCUUUCGAUGAUUCAAAAAUCGCGAUCUAGCUAUCCGAUCAGUCACAACCUCUUAUGUGUGUGACCCCAUAGAUUCUAUUCUAUCUGGUAGUGAGAUAUAUUUUGAUUACUAUCAACAAUAUCACUGAAACUCCUUUCAAUGGAUCGGAACAAUUCUAACUCAGCCUAAUAAGAAUUACCGAUCAUCUAGAUAAUUCUCAUGAGUUUCAUAAUCCACCAGUGACGCCUAGCAGCAUGUAGUGGCAUUUUAGUAGAAUGGAAUACUGAACCUCUUGGUGUAAUUACCGUGUGAUACAAUCCUUCUAUCAUGAGUCCCGACUGGACAGAGGUCAUGGAAUAAAUCGCCAAACCCUAUCGUCUGUCAUAUGUCAAAUUUAUUCGACUCGAGUUUCUAAUAUCGAAAACCCCUUUCUGCUAUUAAGUCUGCCCUGACCAAGGUCUUCUAAACUCGGUCUCAUAAAUCACAUAGGAUUAACGCCCCUAUUUACCAAGGGAGAUAGAUUCCAUAUAAGUUUGCACCCUAUUCCUACAAUGAACCUACUAUAGCCAACAUGCACCGCAAGGACCGAAUGGCUAGGGACCAAGUGUAUGUACAGUCAAACUACAGUAACCUCAUUGUAAAUAGCCGAGGCACCGUAGGUCAAAGGACCAGUCACACUACUGAAACAUUGAGUAAGUCACUAACGAGUGAGUAGACAUCCAAGUGACUUCUCGCGUUGGUCAUGCUUGGUACCCUUGUUCUCUAACAACCACCCGCAUAUUCGCUUCAGUGUUCCCACACUGUCGACUCGAGACUCGUCUACCCCAAAAGGGAAGCGACCUAUGCAUCAAUCUCACCAGAUCAAUCACCGUCCCCGUAAUGAUCCAUUGAUCGGGAGCAUUUAGGAAUUAACCACUAAUGACACAUGUCUCAAAUUCUCAAUUCUUGAGAAUAUAUGUCAUCAUCUUAUUAAUUCCUUGAACGAUUCAUAGACACAUACACAAUAUGAAUGAAAAUAAGAAUCCUAAUUUAUUCAUAGUAAUUUAAAGUCAAAUACAAAUUUAUGUCCUGGAAAGAAUACAUGUGUCAGCCUGGUUUGCUUCUAUGGCAUACAUCUAACAAAAAGCCUUCCUUACCAACAGUUCGUCUUUAAUUAAGCCAUACACAGUUCCACUAGCAAGACUCCCUUGGAGGUGUGCUUGGGUUACUUACCAUCAAUCCCAUUCGACUUGGCAUUCACGGUCGAGCAACCAUAAACCACUAAGGAGAAAUUUGAAAUGGUGAAAGCACAACGCUUCCUGAAGGACAUUUAGAAAUUGCAUAGUGAGGUGGAACGACAAUUGCAAAAAUCUCAACAGAAAUAUAAAGAACAACAUGAUCGACAUCAAGUGAAAGGUGAUUUCCAAGAGGGCGAUCUCGUUUGGCUCCAUCUCAGUAAAGAACAUUUGAAAAGCAAGUUGAAAAAAAACUUAAACUCAUUCGCUAUGGACCUUUCAAGAUCUUACGCAAAAUAGGUGAGAAUGCUUAUGAAUUAGAGCUACCUGCCUAUAUGAAAAUGUGUUCAGUCGUUAAUGUCGAAAACCUAAAGUCUUUCAAUCCGUCAAUGUUGGACGAUGAGCUCGGAGAUGUACCGCCAUCCAUAAAAGAUUUUGUGCUAGAAAGCGUAGAGCAACUAGCUGAAGAUACUAUUCUGGAGCACAAGGUCACGACGACACGCAAAGUUCAACGUGAAUCUUCCCGUAUUGGAUGAAAAGGUUAAAAGCCAAAUGCAGAUAAAUGGUUCACAAGGGAAACUGCGAAAACUUAGUUCCCUCACUUGUAGGUCUAGAUCUAGUAGGUGCUGAUUCCUCUCAAAAUGGGGAGCCAUGAUCCAAGACGAUCAAAAAUUUUGGAUGAGUUUCGAUCAUUGCAAAUAAGAUAGAGACUGUCCCAACUAAUUUGGUUAAGAUAAAGUGAACGCAGUUCUAACUACUUCAAUUAGGAUAAGGAUCGAGACAGUUUUAGUAGAUUGGAAGAAUGAUCAAAUUCUUAAACCAAAUUGGAUAAGAAUAGAGCCAAUUUGGAUAAGAAUAUGGAUGUUAUUUUUUAAAUAUUGUAUUCUUAUCUUCUUGUACGUCCGAAGGGUAUAAACGGGGGUCUUAUGACUCCUGUAAAGGCACUCCAAUUUGAAUAAAGAUAUUCAAAUCCAAUUCUAACGUCUCGGAUAUUACAAUUCUAUUGCCAGUGAAUACACUUGCCCUUUUUGGCUUGUGGAAUUUACUAGAAGACUUUUGUUGGUUUCUCACCCUUUUUUUUGGAUGAUCUUAGUAGUAGGAGUUGGAACGGUGCGUGAGGUGUGAUAGUUAGUGAGCAUUAGAGAUCUGAGCAUUCGUCACUGAUUUAGGUUAUUCUAAUCUUACCUUAUUCUUUUAUUUGAUAAUAAGCUAGUUUUUGGUCGUAGUUCAAGCUUUGAUUCAUACGUUUGAUUUAUUGAUUAUGAUUGUUUACUCUUUGUGGAUGGUACUUUGAAAAUAAUUGUUCUGCAAAGCUUCUUUUAUUAUCGAUGGUAUUGAUUGUUGUAUCUGUGGCUUUAUGUUAAACUGAUUUUCUACCCCUCGUGGUAGUUGGAUUCCAAAAAACGAGUUUUCGUGUGGAAAAUAUUUUUCAAAUAGUUUUUUGGACUUUCCGACAUCUGAAUGGGAAAUGUUAAACUGAUUUUUUUGGUUGGAUUAAAAAAAAAAUGAGUUUUCGUGUGGGAAAUGUUUUUCAAAUAGUUUUUCGGACUUCCUGAUUUUCGAGUUGGAAAAACUUUUACAUGAUAAAAUUGAUCGAUGUUCGCGUAUUUGCAACAUCCUUCGCCUAAGGAGAGUUUAGAACAUGUAUCAUCUUAAGGAUGCCGAACUGAAUGGAUCUUGUGAGCAUCUACAAUUGUGUUGUUGUUAUAUGUGAGUAAAUGUGUGCAUUGUGAUUUGUACUUGUAGUAGUAGGCCAUGCAAAUAAUAGAGAGACUCUAUCCUUAUGGACAGAGGUGUUUCUAUAUCUGUGCGGGUCUAUUCUAUCCCGUGUGCAAGAUUGUAAAAAUGGUUUUCGGGGGGAAGGGGGUGAGGGGAUCUUUUUCACUGUCUUCAUUUUCAAAUUAGCCAUCUUUCUAAAAAGGCCGUACAAAAGCGGUCCCGAGGAGGAAAGGGAGCUUUUUCACUGUCUUCGUUAUAAAAUUAGCCCUCUUUCUAAAAAGGCUUUACAAAAAGGGUCCCGGAGUGUGACAGUCCAAGGUUUUUGUUUAAUAACAAAAAUAUUAAAUAUAACAAUAAAAAUAAGAAACUCGAAAAAAAUUUUCAAUUCCAAGAUUUUUCUAAAUUAGUUCAUUCAUGACUUAGUCAAAGUGUAAUGAUAGCUUAGCAACCAUUAAAGGAAAAAAAAAAAAAACUCACUCAACUAAUGUAUCAAAUUAUGUAGAAAUAAUAUUUAAAUAAACAAAAAGAAACAAAAACAAUGCCAAAUAAAAUCCAAAGUUUAUAAUUUUACAGACAAAAAACUUAAUUUUCUACUAUGUAUGCACCAAUUGCAAUGGUAAGGCGUCUCAAAAGGUCACGCUUUACUUUCGCGUAGCCUUCAGUUCCCCAAUCACUCCCCCACGAGUUCUUGAUUAGGUAAUAUCUGGUGCCAUUUUCGAUACCAAAUCCAAUUAUAGCCACUGAAUGCGCACCUUUCUCUCUCUCUCCAGGUUGAGGUCCCAUAUAGAUAACCUAAAAAAAAGAAUAAAAUAUUAUCAAGCAUGUAUAUGUGUGUGAGUAUAUACAUACAUUCAUACAUAUAUAUAGAGAGAGAGAGUCCAGCUAUGGUACUUUUAAAAGCACCAAGUAUUUGGCGCUUGUAGGUUUUUAGCCAUUAGAUCUACAUUAUUGACCAUUUACACCCGUUAAAUUAUACUAUUCAACCAACCACCCACUCAACCCUAGGAGGCCCACAUCAUUCUAACCAUACAUUUUUUAAUCCAAUGGCUGAAAAUCUACAAGUACCAAUGUCUUGAUACUUUAAAAAGCACAGAAGCUCAAUUAUAUAUAUAUGGCUGGGGCUACUAUACUCAUAUGAGUAUAGAGCCCUUUGUACUCAUAAGUUUUCGACCGUUCAGAUGAAAAAAUGUGCGGUUAGGAUGAAAGUGGUUACAGUUAGGUUGAUAGUGGGCCCCCUAGGGUUGAGUGAGUGGUUGGUUGAAUAGUAUAAUCUAACGGGUGAAAAUGAUUAAAGGGUAGAUCUAACGGCCAAAAACUUAUGAGUACAAUAGGCUCUAUACUUAUAUAUAUAUAUAGCAUAUAUAUAUAUAUAGUAUAUAUAGACAUAUAUAUAUAUACAAUAACAUAUACAUAAAUAUAUACAUAUACAUACACAUAUAUAAUAUACAUAUACAUAACAUACCAACAUAUACAUAUACAUAACAUACAUACAAUACAUAUACAUCCAUACAUACAUAUACAUACACAUACAUAUAUACAUAUACACUAUACAUACAUAAAUCAUACAUAUACACCAUACAUAUAUACAAUAUACAUAUACAUUACAUACAUAUAACAUAUAUCAUACAUACAUUACAUAUAUAGUUAUAUACUAUAUAUAUAUAUAUAAUAUAUAUAUAUAAUAUAUAUAUAUAUAAUAGUAUAUAUAUAUAUAUAUAUAUAUAUAUUGUAUGCUGUGCUAUAUAUUAUAUAUAUAUAUACAUAUAUAUAGAAUAAUACAUAUAAUAUAUAUAAUAUAUAUAUGUAUCUGUAAAUACAUAUAUAUAUAUAUGUAUAUAAUUAGUACAUACAUACAUAUAAUAAUUAUGUAAGUACAUAAUAAUAUAUAUUGUAUAUAUGUAUGUAGCAUACAACAUAUACUAUAUUAUGCUAUGUACAUACACUUCAUAUAUAUAUAUAUAUAUAUAUAUAUAUAAUGUAUGUACAUAUAUAUAUGUAUGUACUAAAAUAUCAAUUAUUAUGUAUUAGUAAAACUGACCUCUCUUUGUAAAUCUGAAAAACUAUCAAAAGCAGUCAAGCAAGCAGCAAUCGGACGUUCUCUCAAAAUAUUCAAAAUUUCUUCUUCAUUAUGUGUUCUUUCUAAAUUUGUUUGAAAAUUUUCAAUUGUCACCUUGUUUUCUGAAAAAUAGAAAUAUCAAAAAUUUAAUAAUUUUAUUUUAACACUAAACAAAUAUUAAAGUGUAAAUAAACUUACGUCUUCAUUUACUUGACAGUACCCUCUUCGCCCGAUAUAUGGACUAUCAACUUCCAAUGCAAUUCCAUGCAUUUUAAUAUAGUUCAGACAUUUCGAAUGACUGCAUUGAAUGCAUCCAACUGAAUCCAUAGAUAGCUCACUAGUAGAUGAAAAUCUAUGAUGAUAGCAGUUCACCAAUUCUUGUUUGGACAACUCAAUAAGCUCACCGUAUCUUCUUGCAUAUUCAGCUUCCACUAGGGUAGUGGACGAAAAUGCAUAGCAGCAUUCUUCAAAUAAUAAAUAAAAAGAAAAAGAAAAGUUUAUAAUCUAGUCAUUAUUCCAAUAAUUACACUAUUGAAUAUACUCACGACAUUCUUGUUGAUCUCCAACCUCAUGACGAAGUAUACCAUGCUGCCGUAAAUCAAAUGAUUCCUAUUAUAUUAACAAUAAAUAUAUAAGAGCGAUAAUAAACAAAUAUAUGUUAUGUUAACAAUUUAAUUAGUACAAUUUAAAUGAGGAAAAUAAUAAAAUUACAGUAUCAUUUAUAAUGACAUAUCUACUUCUAUAUCAUUAUCAUGUCGUUGACUAAUUCAAAAUUGAAAACAAUAAUGUUAAACUAUUUUAUUUUAUUUUAUUUUAAAAUAAUGACUAGACUUUUACUUAUUGCUCAUACACCCUGAAUUUUAUAGGGCACUCCACAUUUGGCCGCCCUUUCGUACGAGUUUUUGUGGUGCCCAACCUUGUGGAAGGGGCACUGGGGAAAGUUUCGAUACUGGAGCUUUUGCCAAAGCGCCCACUGGGCGGCCUGCUCAACCACAUCACAGGACCAAAUAGGCCCAUUGUUUGAUAUCAAACCAGGAAUGUAGUCCAUGCAAUAUGUGGAAUAAUAUUAAUUCAAAUUCUAAUCAUAAAUAUUAACAUUUUAUGAUAAUAAAAAUGUAAUUAUAGAAUAUAUAUAUAUAUAUAUAUAUAUAUUUAAGUAAAUUAGUAUUUUGUAAAAUAUAACUUAGUUCAUUAAUAUGAAAUUUAAAAUAAUGUAAUUUAAUUUUAUUGUCGAUUGCACUAAGAUAAUAUAGAUUUUAGAGUUUAAAUUUUAAAACAAUAAAUCUAGAUUGUAGAGCAGAAUAAAUUUUUACUAUAAAUUUCAAAUUUAGAAAAAUUAAUCUGUGUCAUAGGAUUUUACUAGAAUAAGUUUAUGACUAAGAAUUUAAAUUUAAAUAUAAUAAUAUGCGGCCGGAUUGAAUACAUGGAAAAAUAUAAUUUUGAAAUUGCACCACUCAGUAGUGCAAUGCUUUUAGGCAAACACAAUUUAAUAUAAAUAUUAACCAAUUAGGAAUUAGAUUGUUACUUGUUCUGAAUAAUCGACACAGACAAAAAUCAAUUUUAUAACAAAAUAAUGAAUUAGGUAUCCUACUAUUACUUAUUAGAAAUGAUCGAUAGAGAAAUGAUCUACGAAUUAAUACAGUUAAACCAAAGAAUUUCACAAUCUAAUACUAUGGCGUUGCCUACUACCAUUUUCAAAAAAACGAUAUUAAUUAAAAUUAUUGUUCCACUUUUUACUUGCCUGAAAAUAUUUUUUCCUAUAAUUUGAAAAGAAGAAUUUGGCAAAGCAAAAAAUUUUACGUAUGAUAAUAUGUUAUUACUAAUGUGAGCUCAUUGUAGAAGUUUAAAAAUUUACUGUAUGUGUGUAAUUCAAAAUAAUCCUAUUAGCAUGAGGGGUGUGCCGAAAUUUUACAAGUGAAUAGCCAUAAAAUGGCUCUCAUCAAGAGAAUUAAAAAUGUACUGAAAAGUAAUAACUUCUAUAGUAGUUUAUGGUCAAAAUUAACCAUACUGCAAACAAUUUCAUAUUAAUUUAAUGCGUCAAAAGUUUUUGUGAUGGAUUAGAAAAUUAAUACCAUGUUGGUGCAGGGACGAUACGCAGAGGAAAUCACUUAGCCUUUUUGUUUGGCAAUAAAAAACAGGAACUUCAAGUAUUUGUCUUAGUUGCAGGCAUAACAAACUAAUUUAACUUGAAAGCAUUACAACUUGAAUGCAUUACAUCAAGUAUUUGUGUUGCUUUUUCCCCCCUCCUCGCAUCCAAUUUGCAUGCAUCACAAGCAAAUUUAACAUGAAAGCAUUACAACGUGAAUGCAUCACAACUUCAACUUGCAAACUAUCCAGCAUACAUGGAUAUUGUAUGUGUAUUAUAGUUGUAACAUCCCAUACUUUUGUUCUUUUUACUUACCCUUCUUAAGUUAGAUUUUUCUGUAAAUAUUAAAAGUUGAGGAACUUGGCGAUAUUUUAUAGUAAUUAAUCUCUAGUUUCCUCUCUCCCUUUCCCUGUUGUGUAUGUACUAUAUUUGUAACGCCUAUACUUUUGUUCGUUUUGGGUCUUUUCUUGGAAGUUCGAUUUUCUUUUGUAAAUAUUAAAAAUUGAGAGGUUUAGCGGUAUUUUUUACUCAGCGAAUCGCUAUUUUUCUCUCUCUUUUUUGUUUCGAAUAAAUCCAGUCAUUCCGUCCCGGGGUAUUAUGUAGGCAAUGUCGGGCCGACACGAUCCACGUUAACAGGAUCGAACAGGCUAGGGCUCGGCACAACUUCAAAUCCGUGUUGGACCAUGCCAAACCGUGCUGGGUCGAAGCUACUCCACCCUAGCACGGCCCUCUAGCCUAGAAGGCAUGGGCCAUGAGGGACUACGCCGGUCUCCAAGCCGGCCCUUUAAAGUUGAUAUUGUUUUAUUUUAAAAAAAAGAUAUGUCAAAUUUAAAAAUAUGAAUAAUAAAAAAUUUAUUUUUGUUUAAAUUGAUAUUUUGAUUAAAAAUUUAAAAUUUAUAAAAAUAAUUAUAAAUAACAAAUAUAUAAAUAUUUUUUAAAAAAAUAUAUAAAUUGUUACUUUUUUUUUUUUUCUGAAAAAGAUUUGGUACAAUGGAAAAAAAAUUUGUUUGGUCUACUGAAUCAAAACCACUCCUGCCAAAAUCUGCAGUGGUAAACCUUGGAGAGGAGCUCCUAGGGAUAAGGGUCAAGCCCUUCUCUCGGCACAGCCCAUACAUGUUUUGGGCCGGGUUGUAUCAGACAUCGGGAAAAAAGGUAGAGGCCUAGCAUGGCCUGGAAGUUCGGGCCGGGCAGUGCCGGCAUGGAUUCUACAAACUCUAUGCCCUGCCGAGGUCGGCCCGAGGCAAUGCAGGGCCAGGCGGCCCACUGUUUUACAUUCCUAUUUCCAGCCCUCCCCCCUUCAUGAUUCUUUCUUAUCUUGUGUCCCGCCUCUCAUCGCCGUCAUAUGUGGCCGUUGCCACCACUAUAGCAGCGGCGCUCACUCUCAAUUAGCAUCUUUGGUUUCCGUCAAUGGCACCUAAGUCAUAAUUGUUUUCAUCUUAAAAGAGGUUCUUUCCUCUUCUUUUUGUCCUAAUAUCUAUUCUUGAAAAAAUCCAAUCUUGUAGUGUAUGUUAUUUAAAUAUUUUUAUAUAUUGUUCUCUUAAUGAUUAUAAUCAAAAUUAUUAAAAUUUGAUUUGUAUCAGUUCAAAAUUAAUAUUGAUUGUAUUGUUACUUUAACUUGUAUUUUUAUGAAAAUUUAGUUGUGUAAUUUUUCAUACAUUCUACAUGCUAUUCGGAAUUUCCUCUAGGUGUUCGACAAAAUUUGAUCUCAUCUAAUUACUAUAAUGAAUCGAUCGGACCUGCUAGCGAUAAUAACUCGUUGGACCCAAACUAUCGACGAAAAUGCUUAAACCUAAUUGUUAUUACUAUCUGACGUCGCACUAAUUGGGUAUCAUAGACUCCCUUUGGUCGAGCUCUAACGUCUUCCUCAACCCAAUCAGACGCACAUAGCCCAAGAUCACCGGGCGAUGUGAAACCUGUCUUACUAGCCAUGUCAUUCUCUGGCCAAGGCUUAGUCUGUUAUUUCGACGCUGGCACUGCGGAGACUCGUGUCAAAUUUUGACUGAUGAUUGUCUCUGAUACCAAAUAUAACGACCCGAAUGGAUCCGUAAUAAUAAUAACUUAUUAGACCCAAACCAAAGGUCGAAAAUGUUUAAGCCUAAUUAUUAUUAUUUGUAAUACCCCAGGAAUUAGAAUAAUCCUAUAUAUAAGAUAUAAACCUGUUAAUUCAACUAUAGCAUUUUAGGUAAUAGUUAGAUCCAAGAUGUUAAGAGAGUUAAACGCGCUAAGAUUAAAAUAAUCUUAGGAUGAGUGACCACCUAGGAAGUGGGUAGUCACAAUUAAUAUCAGAGCCAAUUAUUACCUAAAAUGCUAUAGUUGAAUUAACAGGUUUAUAUNUGUGAGAUAAGUUUCAGCUAAGCCAGAUUAUGCAGUGAGAAGAGUGAGGCUCUCUCCUGUUGAUGACUUUUAUAGGUAGAGUGUAGCUCUCCCAAAAGGUCAGCUAAGGCUAGCUCAACGAGUCUCAUAUCGCCUAGUACUUGUAAGUCUAAGGCUGAUGAGAAAGUCGGGACUUCAAAGGGAAGAGAAUGUGACAUCCCAAAAAUUAAAAAAGUCCUAUAUAUAAGAUAUAAUAAGGUUGAAACCUAUUAACCCAGCUAGAGUAAUAAACGAGCCGAACACGAGCUGGCUCACGAGCUGGCCAACGAACAAUAAGUUGAAAAAGAUUAGAUUGAAUAUACAUAAAAAAUAAAUUUAUAAAAUUUUAUCCAUUAGACUUUGAUCUAAUAGUUGAAACUUUAUAUAUAAAUGAGUCUUUUUAUAAUUAAGCUUGCAUUUGUAUUUUUAUUUUGCUAAAAAUUAAAUAAUAAAAAUAUAUAUUAUAUAUAAUUAUUUAUUUAUAUAUAAAAAAUAUAAAUUAAAUAAAUUAUAUAAAUAUAAAAUAUAUGUAUUCGAGCUGUUAUCAAGCCGAACACGAGCGAGCUGACCCCAGCUCGUGUUCCGCUCGUUUAUUAAACAAGCUGAAAAAUUCAGCUAAUGUUCGGCUCGUUUACUAAACGAGCGAUUCGAUCUCAAGCUCAUUUCGAACCGAACACGAACUGGCUCGCGAACAGCGAGCUGGAUUGCCACCCCUAAACCCAGCUAUAGCAUUUUGGGUAAUGGCUAGACCCAAAAAGUUAAGAGUGUUAAACAUGCUAGAACUAAAGUAAUCCUAAGAUGGAUGUCCCUUUGGCAAGUGGGGCGUUACUAUUCGCAUCACAGCUAAUGUGGCCAAAACUCUUAACUCCACUAUAGCAUGUUGCGCGGUGAUUAGACUCAAGGGUUAAGAAGGUUAAGCAUACUAGAACUGGAGUAGUUCUAGGGUGGGUGACCCCCUGUGGUGAGACAAAGUCUCACGUUGCCAAUGAUUGUAAGUUUUUAAGCCCAACUAUAGUAUUUUGGGCGGUGGCUAAGCCCAAGAGAAUAAGAGAGUUAAACAUGCUAGGGCUAAAUUAGUCCUAGGAUAGGUGAUCUCCUGGGAAGCACAGGUGGUAUCAGACCCAAUUACCAACUGAAAGUAUGAGAUGAGUUUCGGUCGAGCUAGAAUAUUUCAGUAGAAAGAGUGAGGCUCCCAUGCUAAUAACUGUUGUAGGUAAAGCACAUCUCUCUACAACAUCAGUUAAGGCUAGUGAGAUAAGUCUCAUAUUGUCUGAUACUUGCGAGUUUGAGUCUAACGAAAACAUCAGGGCUUAAAGGGAAAAGAAUGUGACAAACAGUCAUAUAUAUAAGAUAUAAUAAAGCUAAAAUUCUUAACUCAAUUAUAACAUGUUGGGCGGUGGUAAGGCUCCAGGAUUUAGAAGGUUAAUCAUGUUAGAACUAGAGUAAUUCUAGGAUAGGUGACCCCUCUAGGAAAUGGGGCGAUUGGCUAAGGCUAGCAACAGAAAGUCUCAUGUUGCCAUGUGGUUGUGUAUUUCUAAACGCAGCUAUAAUAUUUUAGUCGGUGGCUAAGCCCAAGAGAUCAAGAGAGUCAAGUGUGCUAAGGCUAGAGUAGUCUUAGGAUGGGUAACCCCCUGGGAAGUGAAACGUCACAGUUGGUAUCAAAGCCAAUUACCAGCCAGCAAUGUGAGAUGAGUUUCAGCUGAGCUAGGUUAUGCAGCGAGGAGAGCGAGGCUCUUAUACUAAUGACUAGUCAUGGGUAAAGUGUGGAUCCCCACAAAGUCAGUAAGGCUAGCGAGACGGGUCUCACAUCGCCUGAUACUUGUGAGUCUAAGCCUGAUUAGGACAUCAAGGCUUCAAAGGGAUGACAGUAUAACACCCUAUGAAUUAGAAUAAUCCUAUACAUAAGAUAUAAUAGGGUUAUAUUAGCCAGGCUAAAGCAUUUUGGAUGAUAGCUAAAUCCAAGUGGACAAAAAAGUUAAGCGUACUAGGGCUAAAGUAAUCCUAGAAUAAGUGACCCCCUGGAAAGUUGGGCGUCAAACCUAAUCACCAACCAAUAUGCUAUAACUAAGUUAAGAGUUUUAGCCCUAAUAUAUCUUAUAUAUAUGCUACUUGAAGUCUAGUUAACCUGAGUGGUCAGUGCUUGCAUACUCGUGUUGAUGUUGACCUUAUACAUCGUAGUUGACCUAAGUGGUCGGUGAUCAUAUACCCGUGUUGUUUUGAUGAUCUAUUGGUCGGUGUUCCCUGAGGGGUUAUGAUUAUUGGCUAUUCGUCGACAGAUGGCUAUUGAUCAUAUUCGCAUCGAUCGCCAUAGCUCGAAAGUAUUUCACAAAUACCAACGAUCUGAUCCACCACAAAAGGGUGUUCUCUUCUAGAAAAAUGGUCGUACUUCCUACUCAUAAGCCCUAUGGGGUGCCUAAUGGGGUUACAUGCCAAAUAGGGCAGGUAUGGCUUGCCUGAGGUCUUUAGACCGACAUAGCAGCAGAUUGUUCAUCCGGUUGACGCAUAUUAGUUACAGUAGCAGUUGUUGCAUUGUACUAUUCAUGUUCUUUCACUUAUGCUAUUGUAGACUCUUCUUCACAUAUACUCGGUUAACAGUGAGUACACUCGCCUUCGUCGAUUUGCGGUACCCACUGGAAAACCUUUCCUUGGUUUCUCACUCCCUAUUUUUACAAGUGAUGUGGGUGGGAGUUAUCAGGACACCACGUGAGGCUGUAGAUGGUGAGCUUGUGAUAGAGGUCCCGACCUACGGUAUAAUUUUUGGAUUGUUCUCAUACUUUAUACAUAUCAUUAGAUAGACAUUGUUGAUAGUUCAGAUUCUAUUCCUUACACAUGAUAAUAGUUAGACAGAUUUGUUGUUCAGUUAAUGUCUAUACUUAUGAGAUUUUGGUUACCCAUGAGAUUUUGGAUACUUGUAGAUUUUGGAAACUCGAGGUCUUGAUUACUUAUGCAUUCUAGAAUUGGACUUCGAAUGAUGGUUUUCUACCCCUUGUGAUAGCGUGUUUUUGGAAACGAUUUUCAAAAUAGUUUUUCGGCUUUUAGUGAAGUUAGAAUUUUAAAAUAAAGUCUUCGUGUGGGAGACGCCUUCCACUGAUAGGAAUGAAUGUGAAAUGAAUGUGGAAUGGUUGUGACUAAGGACCGCUAACUGUUUGAUGUCGAAACUUAUGGAAUGUUGAUCCUUAUUCAUUGUAAAUGCUCGUGUGUGUGAGCAGAUGUCAUGGUUGUCACUUGUACUAUGUGCUAUGCCUAUCGAAGAGACUCUGUCCAUUUGAAUAGAGAAUUUUCUGUAUUAGUGGUGGGUCUGUUACAUCCCUAGAUAAAGGUUAGAAAAAAAUAGCAGUUUUCCACUAACUCUGGUUUACAAAAGGUAGCCUGAUUUCAAAUGGCUUAUUAAAAGGACUCCGAGGCACAACAGAUUAAGGUGGUCUUAGAGUGAAGGUCACAACUACGAUGUCACUCGCGAUUUUUCUUAAAAAUUAAACUGGACCACUGGUUAGGUUGACCUAUAGGGAAACCUAAAGUAUUAGGAACGUGAAUGCGGGGUGUUUGGGCUUGAGUUCUGAUGUGUGUGUCAAGUCGAGUAGAUCGUUUGAUGGUGUUUUUUUGACGUGUAGAUGGCACAUGGUAGGCCCUCUCGACCGAGCCAUGGUGGUAGACACGCAGGUGCUGAGGCAUCUGGUAGUACUCAGGAGUGUACCUCUACUCAUAGAGGUGGUGGCGGAUGGGCACUGGGCGACAUGGUGGAGCUCACACCCGCCAGUUGAAGACUCAGGUGGCAGAUCUUGCACGCCAAUUAGUGGCCCUUGCUAGCUCGGUCGAGCAGCUCUUGCAAUAGCAGACUCCAAAUGCUGCUACUCAGGCCCCACCUUCGGCGCAGGGCAUUAAAGUGACCGUGGACCUUCCUACUGUGUCUGCACCUACCUCGACCACAAUUGUUGCCACUCAUGCCUUACCUGUUAGGCCAAGCACUGAGACAACUGCAGACCCUCCAGCGGUGUCCGCCUUGAUUGUGACCAUAGCCGCGACGAUGACCACGACUACUUCUGCUAGGGGUGCUACCCCUCUGGCAGUGAAAGGUGCCCAUAUCCGGGUGAAGUUGGUGGAGUUCCAAAAGUUCAACUUGCCGAAGUUCGCGAAAAAGACAAAUAAUGUGUGGGCCAUAGAGAGAUAGGUCACCCACAUGGAGAAGCUCUUCCAAGACCUAUAUAUUGAGGAGCAGGACAAGGUCGCCCUCACUGGGGGUGAAGCGGAUGACUGGUGAAGGCCGUAUCGGGAAGGCCAUUUGCCACUAUGUAUCCAUCCUGGAAGAAGUUCCUAGAGCUACUCUACUGCCACUACUUCAAAGAUAGCACCAAGCAGAAUCUUAAGCGCGAGCUCGAGCAGCUCAAGUAGAGGAACCGAACUGUAGCGGAGUGUGAGCGAGACUUCUCUCGCAUUCUUGGGCUGAUCCCCUUAUGGCUCGCGAUGAGUACUACAAAGGCCAGUUGUUCAUCAAAGGGUGAAGCCCAGCUUCAGGAAGCUGCUUUCCUCUUACGGCACACUAACUUUCGACGAUGCUCUAGAUCUGGUCUAGAUGAUCCAAAGCGAGAUGGACAAGAUGCAACUUGAGCGGUGGCUUCUCCUCCAGCAUAAGGCCACCAAAGCAUUCAUGCUCAGUGAUGGAUGUGGAAUGGUUGUGACUAAGGACCACUAGCUGUAUGAUGCGAAAACUUAUGGAAUGUUGAUCCUUAUUCAUUUUAAAUGUUGGUGCGUGUGAGUGGACUUCAUGGUUGUCACUUAUACUAUAUGCUACGCCGUGCAAAUACAAGAAAGACUUUGUUCAAUUAAAUAAAAAAUUUUCUGUAUUUGUGGCGGGUCUGUUACAUCCCCGAAUAAAGGUUAGAAUAAAAGGGCACUUUUCCACUAACUCUGAUUUACAAAAAAAUAGUUUGAUUUUCAAAAUGGCUUAUUAAAGAGACCACCAGGCGUGACAUAUUUGCAAAUAUUUAUAACAACAUUGUUAACCUACAUGAGCCUAUACUAAUUUUCUUGCUUGUGCACUACUGCAAUAAAUAGCUUAGUUCUAUUUUUGAUGAGUCAAAUCUCAUUUUGAAAACUCAAUCAGAAACCGGUAGAUUUUGAUUGUUCAUUUCUUACUUUGUGCUUUUGAUGUUAGUUCAUUUACUAUUUUAGGUGCUAUUGACGCCCUACUUCUCAAAAGGUCACCCAUCCUAGGGCUAUUCUAGUCCUAGCAUACUUAACCCUCUUAACCUUUUGGGUUUAACCACCUCCCCAAAUGUUGUAACUGAAUUAAGAGUUUUAGUCCUAUUAUAUCUUAUAAAUAGGACUGUCCAGGGUCUCACAUUCUCUCCUCCUUAAGCCCUGACAUUCACGUCAAGCUCAAAUUCACAAGUAUCAGGCAAUAUGAUACUUGUCUCUCUAACCUUAACCGACCUUGUGGGAGAGCUGUGUUUUACUUCCAAUAGUCAUCAACAUAAGAGCCUGGCUCUCCCCGCUGUGUAGUCUGGCUCAGUUGAGACUGAUCUCAUACUUCCAGCUGGUAAUUGACUCUAGUACAAACUGUAACAUCCCACUUCCUAGUGGGUCACCCCAUCUUAGAAUUACUCUAGUUCUAACACGCUUAACCUUUUUAACCUUUUGGGUUUAGGUGCCGCCCAAAAUGUUAUAAUCAGGUUAAGAGUUUUAGUCCUAUUGUAGCUUAUAUAUCGGACUACCUAUGGUCUCACAUCUAUUCAUUAGAUUGAUAAUGUGAAUGUAAUCUUCUCCUUCUACAUAUUUUUUUCAACCUUAUAGUUUUAUUUUAGUAUCUUAUAGAAAAUCGAAUAUCGUAAUUUAGAUUCUAGUGAUUGACUCGCCAUACAUUUUUGCCUAGUAAGCUUCAUAACUUAGAAGCAACUUAAGAUAAGCGAUCAGGCACCCGUUAGUUUUUUGAUAUAAUACAAAAAAACGGUCUGAUAAUAAGAAAAUUUCUAUUUUUUAGAUUUUUAAAACUAAGGAUUACGCGUAUUAUUAUAGACUUCUGAAAAAAAAAAAAUUUCAACUUUGACCGACAGGUUCUUAUGAUAAAAGACUUCUAAAAUUUCAUAAUAUCUUAUGUAAAUUAGUGGCUGGAUAAAAAUUUUCAAUUAUAAUAUCUUUUGAUAUUCUGAUACACUAAUAUUGACUAUGUCAAAUACACUAAUAUUGACUAUGUCAAUAUGUAUUCUGUUAUAAAAAGUAGCUUCGUCUUUAUAUUGCACCUCCUAAUGCCUGUAACUAUUAGCGUCUCUAUUUUGUAUUUGCGCUUUCGAGCGCCUCUGAUCUAUAUAUACACCAUCUAGUGCCUCUGUUCUAUAUUUGCACUUAUGUUUGUCUCCGGACCUCGCCAAUAGGUCACUCGAUAUAGGCACCUAAAUGACAAUUAAAAUCAAGCAAUCCAAGUGAAAUGAGCAAAUCAGGAAAUUAGACAGCAUCCUCUGCUAAAAUGCCAAACUAGUUCUCCCAAGAUUGAAUUAAACUGCACCCUCUUGCAAAUAUUCAAAAACAAGAAUCACUCUUAGGUCCCAGUUUAACUUUCUUUACUGAUAUUAAAUUGUCAAAAAGAGAUAAAAUGUACAUCUUCAAGAGGAAAAGAGAAGAAAACCAAAGAGACAGUGAAACUAUUUAGGAAUUACUCAAAAGUGAUCUUGAAGAUUAAUGAGUGAGAGUUAAGUAGGCAGUUGUAGAAAUACACCUGAAAAGGAUCUCUUUCUCACAAAAAUAAAGGCAUGCAAAUUGGUUCAACAAGUAAAAUCAGCACACUGUUAUAUUUCAAGUUUUCAACUGUGUCAUUCGGACAACUAUCCGAUCAGAAAUUAGUAAAAGUCAAUACUGCUGAGAAUAACAGAGCAGUGUAUCUGCCCAGGCCAUAUGUUUUAUUCUCAAAAUUGUUGUUUUCUUACAAAAAACCUUACACAGAGCUAAAUUUGAUUCUUCACAAGACCACCAUUAAAUUCCCAAUUUAAAGUAAAAGAGGCAGCUUCUGUUUGUCAUAAUACUGCAAAGACGAUAAAAUUCUACACAUUCAUAUAGCAUCAAAAGAAGAGAACAGAAACUAAACUGCUAAAGAUCCUAGAUGAUUGCACCAGAAAGUUGGUUAAAAAAAAAGGAGCGAAGCAAAGAAAACUGUUUUCCUGUGUUUUGCUCAACCAAACAGCACUCAAGUAGCGAUGGUCCAGUGUGGAGCAUGUUUACUCAACCUACAGAACAUUUGAGAAGAUAAUGACAUGGUCAUUAAGAUAUUAAAAGAUACAUGUAUUGCUCAUAGGUAAAAAUAUGUAAAGAAACAAGUGUUGCCUAUUACAUUUCAGUAGUUACAGACCGACAUUAAGAUCACAUGGAACAUGCUAUUCAGCAUUACAUCAGGAAUACUCUCAGCAAAUCAGUAAAAGCCCAUUAAACAACAAUCGAUGAUCAGAAAAUUAGCUUAAGAUCUCUUCGUGAAUCCCAUGAAAGCGUUGUCUAAUUUCCUCAUUUGAAGGCAAAGAAAUCACCAAUUGGAAACUUUGGAUUAAAUUUACAACUAAUGGUGGUAGUUGAAUUUUUUCAUGAGACAAAAUUCAGCAACAAUGAGGAUAAAUAGAAACCAAACAAAUAAUAAUCGACCAUGGAUGACACCAAGCUUUAGAAGCACAAUUACAAGAUAAAUGGAAUAAAUGGUUUUAGCAUAUGAAACAUCAUUCUCCUUUCGUGCAACAUCUUGUACGUCACAUGGUUUCCAAGUUACAAGCAACAGUCACCUCCUCAACAAGUUUUUCUGUCUAGUUAGUGUUCCCUGUUCUCAUAUGCAGCAUAAAACCAUGCAAACAGAUGUUUCACGAGAGGGGAUAACAUUAAGAAUUAUACACAACUUUCUUAUAGGAUAGAAUAUAGCAACUCAAAGCAAGAAAUGAUUUUGUAAGGAGGCAAUAGAAGAACCAAAGUACAUAGCAGCUCAAAGAUAUAUCUAAUACACAGCUGAAUACAAAAAUUAAAAGCACCAUUAUCUGAUAGGUUAAGCUUUUGAAGAACAACGGUUGUUUUCACAUUGUUUAACAUGGUAUAAGAGCAAUAGGUCCUGAGUUUGAAUCUCGCCGGGCUCCUUGCAUAAUCACUCAUUUAAUUCAAGUCCACAUCUUGGAGUAUCAAGUAGAAGUGAGAGGAGUGUUGCAUAUAAAAAUUAAAAACAUCAUUCUCUGAUAGUUUAAGCGUUUUCGAGAACAACAGUUGUUUUCAUAUUAUUUAACAAAUAUUUACUUAAUAGUUAACUUAUAUAUAUGACCUUGACUUUUCCAAUAAUUUCAAUAAAACCCUAAAUAUAUAUCAUGCAAGGUAAAUUAUCCGACUUUUCUUCAUAAAAGUCCCACUAACUUUUUUUUCAGAAGAAUUGUUAGUUCGCAAUUUUAAUGGGUUAUUCUCCUUGACUUUAGGUUGAAAAGCACCAAACACAUAAAUUGUCGUAGAAAUUCGAUCAUAUAGUCUUCUCCCACGUAAAUUUUCCUGAAAUGACAGCUCAAUUAACAAGAUCAACAACUAAUUUGUGCAAGUUUUGGACACAGGGCUUUUGAUGAUUAUAUGACAUCAAUUGACUUAUUAAAGGGUUAAUUCAUCCAAUAUAAAGAUGAACCUUUCACCAAUAAUAUAAUUAUUAGGAUGUUGCAUUCUUGUCCAAAACCAAUAUCCUUAUAAUCCAUAUUGCACCAUCUGGGACAAGGAUACCUAUAUUUUGUAAUAUCUAUAUCUGAUCCCCAUUUGCAAGCAAUUGCUUAAACUUCAUCUGACUGAAGUUUUGCUUUUUUAUGUUUAUUCUCCCUAGUCAUAUGCCAGUCCUGCUUUGCUUGUGCUGAUAACCAUGUGUUACCCUUAUUGACCAUACAUGUAGAGUACUAGACCUUGACAAAUAGGCAAAAUUGUAGUCUGGGUCACUGGUCAGCAUGUUCUUAUAGUGCUUGACUGAGCUGGAGACAUUUAGGCGCCAAAUAGACACGAAAACAAACUGAGAAAUUGAAUUCUGCUCAAGUUGUGCUGGCUGGUGCAAUUUUCGGACGCCCAAAAAGCUGUUUAGGGCACCCAAAAUAGGUGAGCAUAGGAACAGCAUCAUUCAGACCCUUUUUUGGACCGCCAAGCAGUGAGGCAGCACCUAGUGUGAGGAUUUGGGAGGUUCCAAGCGACUGAAUCAAGGUUUUGGGUGCCCGAAUUCCUCCAUUUUGGCUAGAAUGGUAUAGUUUGAAGCAUAGAGGACUUUUCGGCAUAUUAUUACAUCCUAAAGUGGAUUCCAGCACUGCAUCUAAGUAGCCUUUCAUCCUUAUCUUCUCUGCCAACCAUUUCUAGAGAGAUAAAGAGAGAGAAGAGAAGAGGAGAUUUUGGGUGGUUGGACGAGCUGAUCAAGCACGUGCGCGAGUAGGAUUUUUUCGGCAUUUCCAUAUGGAGGUUAGCAUUAUAAUGUUAUUAUUACUUUUUUCAUUCGACAUUUUUAGUGGAUUCUUGACAGUAGAUCUUAGGAGAAGAGGUUUUGUUGGGCCUUUGUGCAAAUUGAGAUUUAAAAAUGGUUUAUAUGAGUUUUAGGAGCCGAUUUCGCCAAGGAAAAUUUCAGGCUUAUUGGAGGUGUUGUGGCUGCCGUACGACUAGUAGAGUAGCAGCGGAUCACCUCAAUUCUCCGAUAACUAUUCUGUUUCUUGGAUUCGUGAUCUAGGUGGGUUCUAUGUCACCGAACAACGUAUUUCCUUCUAUGUCUAGUUGCACGUACAUGUAUGUGUAAUAUGCAUAUAAAUAUGUUGGUAGAAAGUUAUGAUAGCAUGGAAUUGAGUAGAGGGAAUUGAUUUAUUGUGUAUACAUGAGUACUAAUCGAUGCUAGGCUAUACAAACAAUAGGUCACGUUACCUUAGCACAUUGGGUUCCUACUAUCGUUGUAUAUUGUCUAUAUAUUAGGUUAGGUCGAGAGAGACCAUUGGACUCAUAUGCUUAGAUUGUGAAUUAUAUACUAAUUAAUUGCAUCUUUAUACACUAAAUAGUUGUUAUGCUGGAAGAUAAGAGAAAAUGACUAGAGAGCUUUUGAGUAAGUGAUUUAGUAGCUGCAGAUCAGCUAAUUCCCAAGUGCUGACAUAUUGCUUCUAUGAUGUUAAGCCAAGAGGGGCCAUUGAACAUGUUUAUGUAUUGAUUAUUUGUAUGAUACAUAUUAUGACUUAUGUGAUAGAAGCUGCGGGUUAGGACAACGGCAGUGAACAGGUUUUCGACACCGAGAGGUAUGUGAUGGAUUUAUUGUACAUAUGAAUUAGUAGACACUCUAUGAUUGUGCUAAGGUCACUAAAUUGCUUACUUCUGAUCUUUUGGACACUGAGAGGUAUGGUACGAGAGUUUUGAUGUUAACCACCGGCAGGUUUGAAGAGAAAGACAUGUUACAACCGAGAGAAAAAAAAAAAAAUCCACCACGAGAGAGACAAAUCCGAAAAAUAGACCAAGUAAUCACAGAUCCGAAAAAUAGACCAAGGAAUCACAGAUCUAGAGGAAAGAGGAAAAGUGAGUCAGAGUUGAACCAGAGAAGAACCGAGUAGUACUUGAGAUCAACCAGGCGACACCAGCAAGCGGCACCAACGAGAUAAGAAGAAACCAGUGACACCAAGGAUGCCUCGGGUGACACCAGUGGCAGUAGGGAUGCACCGAGCGGCACCAGAGAGAACCAGCGACAGCAGGGAUGCACCGGGCGGCACCAGAGAGAACCAGCAGACCGAGCGGCGCCAAAGAGAAUCAACGACAGCAAGGAUGCACUGGGCGGCACCAGAGAGAACCAACGGCAGCAAGGAUAAGAAUAACAAGAGGAAAAACACCUAUGGGGAAUGUGUGAUUUGUGGUGGAAGAUGGUUAUAGAUCAAUAUCCCCAUAUUAGGGUUUUUGGCUCUGAUACCAUGAUAGAAAGGCAAAAGAGCGUACCCUCUUGGGUUCUAUUAAUAAAAUUAUAUAGUACAAAAGAUAAGUCUACUAUAGUAACAAUGCCUACUAUAGUAACAAUACAACUAGGAUUACAUACCAUAUAAUCCUAUAUCAUACCAUAUAAUCCUACUCUAAAUAUGUUGUAAUAUACAAUAUCCAAACAUAGUAUAAGAUACUAAAUAUGUCGUAACAGGCAGUGGCGGCGGCAGCAACCCAAUAGAAGGAAGGUUCACUGCUAUAUAUAUAGACAGAGAGAGAAGGAGAGACCAAGGGAGGAGCCUCGCUGAAAUGGGGUCACCGGCAAGGUACGGAGGGAGUGGCCGUGGCUGCACAGGGAGAGUGCUAGGGUUUAGGUUUAGAAAUAUAUCUAUAUAAAUAUAUAUACAGACGCAUAUACGUACACUAUAUAUAUACGCAUAUAUAUAUCCUCUUGUGUAAAAAUCACAACUUACUCCUCUGCCAGCCCCCUUUUGCACAUAACUCCAUACCACAGCCCAAAUUGCACAUAAAAUUUCAUAGUAUUUCACAUAAAAUUUUGAAAUUCUAGCAAAAAGAUCCUCCAUUUGGUUCUCUCUCAAAACUUCUAAUAAGUGCCAUCUUGCACAAAACAUUUGAAAUUUCGUGAGACUUCAGUCCAUGCGUAUGCGUCUAGUUUCACAUGAGUCCUUCCGUUCGUGAAAAUUCCAACAUUUCUCACAUAAAAUGAUAAGCCCUUCACACUUUGCCCCUUUAUCCAUUUUGCAAAGAUUGCAAUUUAAUCCCUCAUAUUCACAGUUUCAUACCCAAAACUCAUCGAUAGGUGUGUUUUGCUCAUAAGUUCCUCCACCUCAAAAAUUCGGUUACUCAAAAUACGAAAUGUUGUGUUUUUUAAAUAAAAACUCCAUUUCAAUUAUUUUGCUCGCAUCUUUUUUCAUCUCCGAUCAUUCACCCUAUCACGCAAAAUUUCACCGAGAUCCCUCACAGGACUGACAGCACCAACAAGCCAUAUAAGUGACAAUUUUCGUUUUGUAGAAAAUUGCUCUAAAUUGCAUUAUAGUACGCCAUCGUUAGGAAAUUUGCUAUUACAUACUUCGGGUUCUAUAGUUGUGCUUACGUGAUGGUAGCUAGAGUUGUGUGAUUCAUGUACAGUGAUGUUUUAUAGUAUCAGUUUUAUAUAUGGCUCUGAUACAGGAUUAGAUAAUUAGUUGUGGACUCUAGGAAUUACUAGUUAUAGAAACUAGGGUUGCUUUACUAUUACUUCUGUUGGUUGGACGCUUCGUAUGUGCAGGAUCUAUGUAAAUACGGCGGUCUGUUAACAUACCCGUGGGUUUCUGCUGUGAAACUGAGGCAUGAUAAUGCAACAUAUAAACGAUGUUAUGCGCGAACGGCACACCAGCAUGUCCUAUGCAUGUGGCACGACAAUCCUUAUUAAUAAGUAUCAAAAUAAAUAGGAAAUGCUCAGGUAACUUCAAAACUAAUCAAACAAAUUUGUAAACCAUACAAACAGAUAAAUAAACAUAUAUCUUUGACUAACCAGCAACUGGCUUAAGCCUGCAAAAGGAAACUCGAAUGUCGUGGCGUAUUCCAUAAAAAACCUUCGCUUGGAAUGUUUUUGGACUGCUUCCACCAUCAGUUGCUUGGAAAGUGAUGUUGUACCAGUAUCCAGCUGCAACAAUACACGUCGUCUUUUCUAUCUUCACAAAUUCAUAACUUGUCGCCUAUGUCAUAAAAGAGUGUCAUAAAGGAAAUUCCAAAAGCAAUUCCACCAAGAAAAAAGGAAAGUAAAAGAAAUAAAUAAUAGGAAAAAAAUACAAAACAGAAUAUAGACUUACAUUUUCCUUAUUAAACUGUUCGAUUGCUGAUUUGGUACAUCUGAUAAGACCUUCAUCCUCGAAAUUCGUUAAAGCAGUAAGACCAAACUCAAAAGUGUCUGGAGAUGGAUCAACAUCAAAUCCCUAUAAAAUGUAUAUAACAAACAUUAGGAAGGAAAAAUUAUUUUGAAUCUUUGAAUCCUAAAAUGAAGAUGAUAGUUGUUAAAUACCUCGCUUUCCUUGAUUUGUUUAUAGUACCUCGCCCAUUCUUCACGAGUCCUUCUACGUUUACCAUCUGGCCAGACAUAAUCAUCAUCUUCACCAGACGUAUACUCAUAAACCCUCUGUUCUUCCUCUUGCUUUUUCUCUUCCUGCACCUCACUCUCGUCAUCCUUUCUCUCUUCCUUCACCUCGUCACGUGCAUUGUACGAUCUCAAUUUCUUCUUCUCUUUCAGUGGUUCCUCAAGUAAUGGUCUCUUAGCAUUCCGACUGCAUAACACAAUAAAGCAUAUCAAUUUACAAUUUGAUAGAGAAUCAAGAUAUGCAUUAAAAAAAUUUUAAUUUCUAUCAAAACGAGUACAACUUCAAAAUAAACUAUUUCACAUUUGAAUGAAAUACCUUUGUUAAAGUAUGGUUAUUUUUUUAUUUCCAUUCGUAUUUCUUUUGAGUCAUAAUAUACAGAGAAUGAAGCUAUACUACUUUAACAGUAAACAAUAAUAUUUACUAUCUAAUUUCUAAUACUUAGGGUUUAGUAGCGGUAGGUAGAAGAGUAUUGAUCUAAGGGCUCGAAAAUCGAUACAGACACAUAUAUAUAUAAAUAUACAUUAUACAUAUACAUAUACAUACACACAUAUAUACAUAUAUAUAUAUAUAUAUAUAUAUAUAUAUAUAUAUAUAUAUAUAUAUAUAUAUAUGUAUGUUAAUAGAGUUAUAUGUAUAUUUAUGUAUAUUGAUAGAGUUCGCUAGGGUGCUUCCAAUAGAACUAAUGUGAUGCCCCACGUCCCAAGAGGUCACCCAUUCUAGGACUACUCCAGCCCUAGUUCUUAACCUCUUGGGCCACAGCCCAAAAUUCAAUAACCGGAUUAAGAGUUUUAGUCCUAUUAUAUCUUAUAUAUUGGACUAUUUGGGGUCUCACAUUCUCUCCCCCUCUAAGCCCUGACGUUCUCGUAAGACUCAAACUCACAAGCAGCAGGCAAUGUGAGACUCGUCUCGCUGGUCUUAACCGACUUUGUAGGGGAACUACAUUCAACCCACAACAGUCAUCAGCAUGAGAGCCUCGAUCUCCCCACUGUAUAACCUGGCUCAAUUGAGACUCACCUCACACUUCCGGUUGGUAAUUGGCUCUGAUAUCAACUGUGGCGCCCCACUUCCCAGGGGGUCACCCAUCCUAGAAUUACUCUAACCCUAGAACGCUUAACUCUCUUAACCUCUUGGGCCUAGCCACCAUCCAAAAUGCUAUAGCCGGGUUAAGAGUUUUUGUCCUAUUAUAUUUUAUAUGUAGAACUACCUGGGGUCUCACAACCAAGCACUUGGUGCUAUCAUUCCACUAUUAGAUCGAUCCCUUUGACGAAUUCUACCCUUUAGAUCAUGCCACUCCACCAACCAUCAACUAAACCCUAGGGGACCAUUAUCAUCUUAACCCUACAAAUCUUUAUCCAAGGCUGAACAGCACCAAUGACUGUGCUAUUAGAAGCAUUCUAGCCUAGCGCUCUCUCUCUCUCUCUCUAAAAUACUAUCGGUAACAAACGGGCUCUGUUGCUUGCUAUUAAUGAUGAAGCUUCCAAAUGGACAAUCGAUACCGUUGAACAUGAUUGUGACCACUGGAAGUAUCUAAAAACCAAAUUUCAAGUGGACACAAAAAUAAACUGCUAAAAGAAAAUAUCUUUCAAAAAGUGAUGAUAGAAUUCUUAUAAUCAAGAUCUAGAGUAUAGAUCUUAUUUUAAAUAGUUUAAACAAUUUAUUAAAUAAAUUUAAUUGAUUUAAAUUUUUUUACACCAUUAAACGAGCAAACGCCUCAUAUCAACCAUCAAAAGUACAAAUUUUGGAACCUUAUGAUCAUUUAGUCAACGAUGUCAAAAACAUUUGAACUUUGAUUUCUAGAUACUUCAAAUGGUAUAGAUCAUAUUUAACAGUGCUGAUCGUCGAUUCGGAAGCUCCAUCAUCGAAAACAAAACCGAAAGCAACAAAGCCCAUUUGCUAUUGAUAUUAUUCUAGCCGAAGUCUAUAUAUAAGUAUAUAUAGUUACAUACAUACAUACAUACAUACAUACAUACAUAUAUAUAUAAUUAUGCUACUGUACUAUCGAUAGUACCAAACGAUUGGUGCUAUCGAGUUUUCGGCCCUUGGAUGAAGAGAUGUGCGGUUAGGAUAAUAGUGGUCCCCGAUAAGAAUGAUAGUGGUCCCCUAGCGUUGAGUGGGUGAUUGGUUGAAUAGUAUGAUCUAACAGGUUGAAGUGGUCAAAAGAGUAGAUCUGGCGGUAGAAAACUCCCUAGCACUAAAUGCUUGGUACCAUCGAUAGUGUCGUAGCCGAACCAUAUAUGUAGUGUAGAGCUACUAUACUUUCGGAAAUAUAAAGGAGUAAGUGCUUAUGACUUUUUAGAUCUCGAAUCAAAGACUAUAUUGUUGGGAUAACAAUGGUCCCUCUUGGGUUUAGUGGUCCUCCUAGGGGGAAUAAUAUUCAUCCAAGGGUUAGAAAUGAUCAAAAGGAUUAAUCCAAAGGUAAAAACUUGGAAACACUAAUUCCUUUAUGCUUCCAGAAUAUAUAUAUAUAUAUAUAUAUAUAUAUAUAUAUAUAUAUAUAUAUAUAUAUAUAUAGCACCAAGUUGUUGGCACUUUUGGGUUUUAGGCCCUUGGAUUAAGGAUAGUAGGGUUAGUAUGAUAGUGUUUCUCCGAGGGUAUAGUAGUUGUUGGUGGAGUAAUAUGAUCUAAGGAUAGAAAUGAUCAAAGGAGCAGAUCUAAUGGUGGAAAAACUGGUAGCACAAAGUGUUUGAUGCUAUUAGAAGCACCCAAUCGGACUCCCUCUCUCCCUCCCUCUUUAUAUGUAGAACUGGGCUUGAAUUCUUCUAACUGCUCUAAGUCAUUUGUGCUUAUGGGUUUUCGACCCUCAGUGAAGGGUUGUCUAGUUAGGAUGGUAGCGGUCUCCAAGUCAUUGGUGCUUAGUGGUGGUUGGUAGAAUAGCAUGAUCAAAAGGACAAAAAUGGUCAAAGGGGCAAAUCUAAUGGUGGAGAAGCUCGUAGCACAAAAUGCUUGGUUAGGUAUCCCUAUCGAUAGUAUGGAAGCCUUACUACUAAGUUAUUUUCGAUGAUAGGACAUCCAAAUUAAUGAUCAGUUUCAUUAGAUAUGAGCUACACUAUUGGAUUUUUUUUAUCAACAAUAUUUAACAAGUGACCGAAAGAUCUGAAAAUUGACAAUUUCAAUUGCAGCCGAUUCAUUUGUGAGUUAACAAUGUAGAAUACUCAAAAUCCAGUGAAAUUUUGAUGGACGAUUCUUUUCAAUGUUUAGAGAAAGAUCAGUACAUCUGAUUUGAUAUGCAAGCCUUUUAUCAUUGUCUAUUAUGAGAUUUUUACUUUUAACUGUUCAUUUGGAGACUAUUCGUUUUAAAUGUAUAUGAUAUUGAUAAAUCAGGAAAAUUGGUUUCUAGAUAAUUCCAACAAAUUAUGUAUAACGAAACCAAUCAUCCCUUCAGAUGUCCCAUCAUUUAAUAUAGAGGUCUUCACGGUACGGAUAGUAUUCUAGCCUAAUUCUAUAUAUAUAUAGAUAUAUAUACGUACAUACGUACAUACAUACAUACAUAUAUAUAUAUAUAUACAAGUAUGGAUACAUAUAUACAUAUGUAUACAAAUACAUAUACAUUUCAUGUCAAAAUGGGAGGUCCGCCAUCAAAAUAACUAGAAAAAAUUAAUGAAGUUGUUUUUUCAUAGAAUCAGAACAAUGGGUUAUGAGGUCGAACUUACUCUGAAACGUUAAAUAUGUUACCAAAUAUUAAAAGAAAGCACUAAACACAGUCCACAUUUAUGAACAGCAACAAUAAAAAUGAAGUGCUAAAACAAAGUGAUCAUAAUAGAGGUGAAAACGGUCAAAUACGGUCCAAUAUUUGAUGAAACCAUAUCUACGUCCAUAUUUUAUAUCGAUAAGAUUUGGAUGCGCAUAUGUGUUAGCCGAUAAUUUUUCAUUACCAUAACAGCUAACUGCAGAUUUAGAUACGAUCAAAUAUCUCGUCAGAUUUGAAUAUAGAAUGAGUUUAUAUUUCGAUAUUACUCGGGUGAUGUUAUUCGGAUAAUAAUAUACAUUAAUAUACACAUAUAAAUAUGAAUUAAAAUUAGCAACAAUGCAAAUAAAAUUCUACAUCUUGUUCAAACUUUUAUGUGCCUAUAUUUUAUUCAAUAAAAUCUAAGAUUAACAAACAUAAAUACAACGUUAAUAUGAAAUUUAUAAUAAAAUGAAAAAAAUUCAAUAUCACAUUUCGCCACAAAAUAUAUUAACAUCACCCUUAUCUCCCAGCAAAAAGCAAUCAAACUCUACCUUAUCUCCCCACAAAUAGCAAUUAAGCUACUUUUAUCUCCCAAAAAAGGCAAUUAAGCCCUCCUUUAUCUUUCUACAUAUAUUAACAAUUAAGUAGAGAACUUUUUGUUUAUCAAAUCAAAGAAAAGGGAAUUCUAUUUGAUUAGAUAAGCAAAAGUUCUAGAUUGCUUGAUAUGCCCAUACCUUAUUCAAACUUUAUACGUCCAUAACUUUUUUUUGAUUUGACGAAUAAAAGUUCUAGAUUUCUUGAUUGCUAAUAUGCGUGGGAAGAUAAGAGAGGGCUUAAAUUCAAUCUCAAAUACAAAAUCAAAAUUUAAGCUCGGGUGAAGAGUCACACGAUAACAAUUCAAAAUCAAGUUCAAAGUCAAAAUUUAAAACUAUAUCUAAAUUCAAAUAUCAAACUAUUACUAAAAUAAAAACUCAAAACAUGAAUAUCUAAAUUUAAAUCUACAUUUCCAAUCCAAAUUUACAGUUAUAAUUUAAUCUAAACUUCAAUCUGAGAUUCUGAAUAUGCACUUAAAUUUAAAUAAUUGUUAUAAAAUUCAAAGAAUAACUUAGGGUGCAGGAAUCAAACUCUACACCUCUCGCAUGUAAGAAAGCUCUAUACCAUCUAAGCUACACCACCCUCUAAUUUAUCCUCCCACAGCAUAUGAAUUUAUAACAUAUAUUAAUUUUCGGAUAAUCUGAAUUCGAAUGCAAGUUUGUAAUUUAUAAUAUAUCCCUAUCCGAAUUUGAACUUGAAAAUAUGUUAAACAUAGCAUUUGAAUAUGAAUCUGAAUUCGACCAGAUGCACGAUUUUGACACUCGUAUUCGCAUCUGAUCAAAGCCAGUGUCAAAUUCGAUCGAAGUUUAUCCUAACCACAUUCACUCCUAGGUGAGAGAAGGCCAACUACACAACGACAUCCCGAUUGAUAGAUACUUCAUGUUCGAGUUUUAUUCACAGUAGUUCCAAUUUCCUCUUUGUCGUCAUAUUAAAGCAUAUUUACUAGACCAAGAGGUGUGACCUAGAAAUUUAUUGUUAUUGUCCCUUGCAACAUGCAUGACGUAUAAUCUGAAGGACAUGAUACCCAGGUUCUACAAUUCUAAUUGGAGUUUUGGUUCCGAAAUGCAAACAUAAGUACUGCUAAGAAUAAAAUCUGUUGAUUUUGCGCAAAAUCUGGAUUAGAAAGUAGGUCAGUGGCACUAGCGAGUUGAAUACAAUUGCAUAUUUGAGUUGUAACUUGUAAAUACAAUUCAUUUCGAUCAAACUAUACAUACCAAACAAUACCAAACUUUCAUACAUAAAAGCUCACCCUAGUCACCUAUUAGGACUCAGUAUAAUAAUUGAUGAAGUUUGAAAAUAAAACUGGUCUCAAUCAAAAUAUAAACCACAUAUACACCAAACAUCAUGCAUGGAAACGCAUCCUAAUCAAUCAAAGUCGGUAGAAUAUUGAGGAAUAUUACCUUCGCCAACGUAAGAAAAUCCUCCAGGCAUCAAUCUCCAUAAGAAUAGCGAGGAAUAGCGAGGAGCAGAGGAAGCUAUCCAGACGCUCUAAUAGACAGACGGUGAGACGAUGAGAAGGAAGGCGGCUGGGUUACCGGUCUGCGGGAGGCAAGAAACUUGAGGCUCAAGCUUCGGACCGAUGCGAAUGGGAGACGGCAAAAUUAUACAUUCCAUCUUUAAAUUUAAUUUAAAAUUUAGAUAGAGAUAUAUUAGAAUAAUUUUGAAUUUGGAGUUGGGAUAUUUGAAAAAUAAUAUAAUAUAUUAGUUUAUAUAUUUUAAGAAAAUAAAAGGGUUUUUUUUGCAAAUGCCCCCUGAAAAAAUUUUAUUUUAAAAAUAACCCCGUCAAAAUUUAAUUUGCAAAAAUGGCCCUGACCCUGCCACGCAGGCGCCACGUCAGCGCCACGCGUGUAGGGCUGGACCAGUGUUAAGUUGAACACGGUAAAUCAUUCACCGUGUUCAAACACGAUUUUUUAGGGAUUUCAACGGGCCGGGCCGGGCCGGUUUGGAUCUCCGAACCCGGCGGGUUUUAAAAAUCCAUACCCAUAUAACUUUAAUAUAUGGAUAUGGGUAUGGAUUUUUAAAACCCGCAGGACUCGGAUUCGUGUUCGGGUUUUAAUUUGAUUUUCAGAUUCGAUUUCGGGUUUUUAAAAAUCCGAUUCAAACCCGACCCGUUGACAUCCCUAAAAGAGAAGAAAAAAAAUAUAAAUAUGAAAUAUGAUGAAUCAUUCACCGUGUUUGAACACGGUGAAUGGUUCNAAUAAUAUAUAUAAAGAGAGAGAAUGACUAUUGUGCUAUUAGGAACAUAGUAGCCCUUAUGUUAUUAAUUUUUUAACCAUCUAUUAAUUUGGGUGAGAGAAAGAAGAGAAAUUAAGGAGCAAUUGGGAGUCUUAAUUUCUCUUCUUAUCCAAACCGUUAGGAGCACAAGGGUUGCUGUGCUUCUAAUGGUACAGCAGCCCCACUUAACAAAUAUAUAUAUAAUUUAGCUGGAAUACUAUUGUCAGUAUUUGGUGGACCUUUUUACUAUUUACUUUUUAAUAUUUUGAUAAAAAAUUAUAGCGUUAGGAUGAUAAUAGUCCCUUGAGGUUGAGUCGUAGUGCCCCUAGAGUUUAAUAGUAGUACAUGAAAUAAUAUUGAUUUAAUGAUACAAAUAAUCAGAAAAGUAAAUCUAACGGUUAAAAGGUGGAUAGUAAAAGAGCCGAAUUCCAACUCAACUCACUCCCUCUCUAUGUAUACUAGUGGAGACCCGCGCUUCGCGGCGGGAAAUCUACGUAAUUUUUAAAAUAUUUUAAACAAUAUUUUUAAUGUUUUAAUUUUUAAAUCUAAUUUAAAAUUUUAAACAUAAAAAAAUUAAAUAUAAAAAUUAUAUAUAGUAAAUAAAUAUAUAUUUAUAAAUAAAAUUAGAUAUAUACAAAUUAGAUUUAAAAUUUAAAAUUUAAAAUUUAAAGUUGUUAAAUUCUCUCUCUCUCUCUUUCUCUUUCUCCUCUGAUUCCUCUCUCUCUUUCUCUCUCUCCCUCUCUCUCUCUCUCUCUNNNNNNNNNNNNNNNNNNNNNNNNNNNNNNNNNNNNNNNNNNNNNNNNNNNNNNNNNNNNNNNNNNNNNNNNNNNNNNNNNNNNNNNNNNNNNNNNNNNNNNNNNNNCCCCCCGUCGGUGGACGCCCGUGCGCCCGCCCCGCUGCCGCGCCCGUGCCCCGGAGCCCCCUCUGCUACCGCCCGCGCGCCCCCCGAUGUAAAACAUAAGUCAAAAGUUAUUGGAUUUAGAGAAGUAAAACAUAAGUCAAAAGUUACUUGUGCUGAAAUUGGAAUGAAAACAGAAGAUUUAUAAUUUUCUGUUGGAAACGGGACAAAUAAAUUAGCAGAAAAUUUACAGUGUCAGAAAAUUAUGAAAACUAGAGAAUAUGUCAGAAUUAUUUUUAUGAGGCUAGAUUUAAAGUUUUAUGUCAUUCUGACACCCGGAAGGUGAAAAAUAAAAUCCGACAGUUAUCUGAUAAAGAUUACAGUUCAGUAUAGCUUUUAGUGACCAAAUGGAGUUGAAACUGAAAGAUUAAAAUUUUUUUCUUUAAGUAAAACCGAAUAUGACUGUCAAAUUUGAGCUCAAACGGAUAUUCAGAGGGUUCCGGCGAAAGAUAUCAGAUUUCGAACUGCCUGAAGUGAAUAGUGUUUGAGAGAGAUAAUUAUAAAGAAGCUUUUGCUUAUUC